AAGAGUAUCAGUAGCCAGAAAGUGACAAACAGCCGGUCCUGGUUUAAUUUUGAGAACUUCAAAGGCCAUAUGGUCAGGACUCCAAGCUGAUGUGUUCAGGUGGCAUACGGUUACCGCUUUCACUUCUGCGCCACCAGCAGCGAUUAAUGGAACCACAUAAACCUCUGUACCUUCGAUUACAUGGCAAUAAUGUACUGCAUAAGGAUAUCUGAUCUUAUGACACACCGCUGCUUUAUGUUCUCCCCUCAUUUCCGCUUUUGCCGAAACAGUAUACUCUUGCUUCUUGCCUGGUUCAGUUGAGAGUACCUGAACAUUUUGGCCAAGCCUCGCAACAUUAAAAUCAAUUAAUGACUCUAGAGAUGUAGCACAAUAUUUUUCUUCUCCUUCCAUGUUCGGGCUCUCGCAAUUUCCUAUUUCAUCACUGAUAAUCUGAGCCUCUUUUGAGUUGACUUGUAGAGAAAAGUACUUCAAAAUCUCCGGAAAUUCGUCACUUGAAAAUGGUAUAGACUCUGCGACUCGACGAGGCAAGAAACUAACCUUGGUUCCACUGUUAGUAAAAAGCAAUUUCAUCUUUUUACCUGGAUGGAGAUCGUUGUACAAGUAGAAUAUUUGUGAGUCGGGGAUAGCAGAUUUUGCGGGUUUUUUAUGGCUAUCUACCCCAUAGUGUUUUUCCAUAUUUUUCACGAUCAUCAACGCUAAUUUUUUGGCCAUUAGCGAAAUCUCUGAUCACUGAAGGAUAAUAACCGGUUGGAGAGUAUCUCGAAUCGUCUCGGCUACGUGAUCGCACUUAGGCUGACCAGACCCUUCUCAGUGGGUGGAGAAUUAUCGCCCGGAAGGCCGAAGCUGGGCACUUCGGCUGGUAAAUGGACAGCAGUGGAAAAGGAAACGUAGAGGGGGAGAGUUAGAAAGAGGAUCAGGAAUGGAGCACCAGAAAUGGCUGGAGACAUUUUUUAAAUAAGUAGAUUGAUGAUUGAUCGAGGAUAGUGACGUAGAGAGCUGAGGGACGUUAUUUAUAGGGAGGGGGGAGGGGAGAGGGGCAACGUUUGCAUAUUACUUUAAUAAUUAAAUCAAUAUUUUUUUUUUAAAGAAAAAAAAAAGUUAAAAGGUUUGGUGACUUCAUUAAUGCAGCAUCUUUUCAUAUAAAUAUUGUUUUUUAUUUUUAAUAAUUUCAUUUUACCAUUUAUUUAUUUUUAAUUGCAUCCUUAGAAAAUCGCUACACGUAUUAUUUAAGGAAAUAUUGCAAUAAUUAUUGCAGAGAUUAUCUUCUAUAACCAGCACCAAUAAAUCCUAUAUAUAUGGUAUUUUAUAUUGCAGUGAUUAUUUUCUAUAACUAGCACGAAUCAAAUCAUAUAUCUAUGGUAUUUUAUAUUGCAGUAAUUAUAUAUGAUUCAGUAAUUAUCUCCUUGACAUAUUGCUUCCUUAAUAUUAGCCUUGAUGCUAUAUGUUAUCGCCACAUGUAAACCCUUAUUAUUAUUAUUAUUAUUAUUAUUAUUAUUAUUGUAUUGAAAAUAUAUCAAAAUAUGGGUAAAAAAUUGGGUAGCAACAGACCCUCCUCUUUACAAUGCUUAUGAAGCAAAACUCCUCAAUGUUUUGCAUAGUAAGCUUGUAAAGAAAAAAAAAAUCUUCUUUGCUUGCUGAGUGAUCCACUCAAUCAAGGACUUCACUUUAUAAUAGAAAAUGGUCUCAUUAUCAUGGGUGACUUGUCCCUUUAAAAAAAAAAAAAAAAAACUGGUCUAUUUUCACGGGCAACCUGCCCACACACACUCAAACCUAGUCUAUUUUCAGGGGCGACCUACCCACAUACUCACGCUGGUCUAUUUUCACGGGCGACGUACCCUUUUGAUUGGGUUAACCUAAGAUCCCAUCUGGCGAUCUCCUUUAACCCGAAGCAAAGUCGGUGUGUAACUCGGUCAACCUGAAAUCCCAUCUGGCGAUUCCCUUUAACCAAAGCUAAACUAUGUGUGUGGUUGAUCUAGCGAUUCUCUUUAACCAAAACUAAACUCUGUGUGUGGUUGGGUUAACCUGAGAUCCCAUCUGACGAUCUCCUUUAAUCCGAAGCAAAGUCGGUGUGUCGCUCGGUUAACCUGAAAUCUCAUCUGGCAUUUCCUUUAACCAAAGCUAAACUCUGUGUGUGGUUGGGUUAACCUGAGAUCCCAUCUGGCGAUCUCCUUUAACCACAACCAAUACAACAAUGUGUGUGUGGUCUCAUUAUGAUGGGUGACCUACCCAAAAUGAAAGAUGGUCUCAUUAUAACGGGUAACCUACCCAAGUGGAAAACAGGAAGAGGGGUCUCAUUCUUAUGGGAGACCUGCCUAGGGGAAGAAUGACCUCAUUAUAAUGGGUGACCUACCCAAGUAAAAAAAGAUGGAGAAUGGUCUCCUUCUAAUGGGUGACCUACCCAGAUGGAAAAUGAUGGUCUCAUUAUGAUGAGUGACCUACCCAAGUGGAAAAGGGGAAGAGUGGUCUCAUUCUUAUGGGUGACCUACCCAGGGGAAGAAUGACCUCACUAUAAUGGGUGACCUACCUAGGUAAAAGAAAAAAUGGAGAAUGGUCUCAUUCUAAUGGGUGACCUACCCAGAUGGAAAACGAUGGUCUCAUUGUGAUGGGUGACCUACCCAAGUGGAAAAGGGGAAGAGUGGUCUCAUUCUUAUGGGUGACCUACCCAGGGGGAAGAAUGACCUCAUUAUAAUGGGUGACCUACCCAGGUAAAAAAAAAGAUGGAGAAUGGUCUCAUUCUAAUGGGUGACCUAUCCAGAAAAAAAAAUGAUGGUCUCCUUGUGAUGGGUGACCUACCCAAGUGGAAAAGAGGAAGAGUGGUCUCAUUCUUAUGGGUGACCUACCCAGGGGGAAGAAUGGCCUCAUUAUAAUGGAUGACCUAUCCAGGUAACAAAAAAAUGGAGAAUGGUCUCAUUCUAAUAGGUGACCUACCCAGAAAAAAUGGUGGUCUCAUUAUAAUGGAUGACCUACCCAGGUGGAAGAUGAUGGUCUCAUUAUGAUGGGUGACCUACCAAGAUGUAAGAGAAAAGGAUUUUAGAAAGGGGUCAUAAUAUCUGGAGACCUGCCCGUUUAAUUUAUUUUUUUUUUGAAAAACUCCACGCUUUUUCUAAGGAAUGGUCUCAAUAUCGGAUGACCUUCCUAUUUAAAAAUUCUUUUAGACAAAUUCCAUGCUUUUUCUAAACAAUGGUCUCAAUAUCGGGUGACCUGCUCAUCUUAAUAUUUUUAGAAAUACUCCAUGUUUUUUUAAAAUUGUCUCAAUAUCGGGUGACCGGCCCAUCUUAAGUUUUUAAGAAAAACUCCAUUUAUUAUUAUUAUUAUUAUUAUUAUAUAGAAAAACUCCACGCUUUUUUUUCUCUCUUUUUUUGGUCUCAAUAUUGGGUGACCUGCCCGUUUUGAAUUUGAAAAGAAAUUAUCUUACCUCGAGGAAUGAAGCAGUGCUGGUUCACAAUUCAUAUUCUUUUCCGUAGUUCCGUUGACCUGAGAUUCUGUAUCUCAACGAUUCCCAAAAACUUGGAACUAUUUGGCUUUUGUCACACCUUUCCUGCCAGGUUAGUGUUAUGAUAAUAUAGCAUGCAUGUUUUUGUUUAUCUAUUUUUGGAAACAUAGGUCCCCCUUUUCGUUGUAGCCUUCUUCGAGCUCCUGUUUCCAUUUGUUUGCCAACUUAUCCUCUUGAACUGGAAUAUGCUUCACGCGCUAUAUUUCCUAUCCUUCUUAUGCUUGGUGAAGAGAUCUCUAGUUCCUUAUGGGGCCCUUUCUUGCUCCAUUGAAUGUUGCUUUGUAGCAUACUUUUGUCGAUGUUUUAAUUGCCUUUUCCAUUUUUGAGAAAUUAUUUUUAAUAGGAAAUCUAAAAAACUUUGGUUUUGUUCAUAAAAACUAAAACUUUUAAUGCAAUCAUUUCUCAUAAAGGUGCUUCAGAGGUUUUUUUAUGAUGAUAUCCCUUUAAUGUUGGGCUUUGGUUCACUAUGUACCCCUAUGUGCACUUCGUGCACUUCUUGCUCCUAGUGUGGUGUGCAAAAAUAUGUCAAGUUUAGAUUUGGUUUGGUUCUCUCCAAUUGAUGGAGUCAUCUCCUUAGUCAUGUGUAAAAAAAAAGUUCUUUUAAGUAAAAGAUUUCAAAUGCUAUGAGAUCAUACGUUUUAUGAAGAAAAGAUUCUUUACAAAGAGAAUUCAUGGCCGAACUUUAUUUUAUUGACCGGGAAGCAUAGUAUUUCUUUAUAGAGUCAUCAUUCAUAGGUUUAACUAGAUCUUCUCCAUCCAUUCUAGAUAACAAAUAAAGCUCCUCUCGAGAACAUUUUCUUUAACAUGUAAGGGCCCUCAUUGUUUGGCGCCCAUUUACUUUGAUCCUCUCCUAGUAAAGGCAAUAUUUUCUUCAGUACAAGAUCUCCUUCGUUUAAUCCUCGAGGCCGGACAUUCUUAUCAUAUGUUUGACCAUUCUUCUUUGGUAUAGUUGAUGAUGAUAGAUUGCAACUAUUUUCAUUAAUCAGAUUUAAUUAUUCAUAUCUAACUUUUACCCACUCUACCUCUUCUAGCUCAAAGUCUAUCAAUACUUUUAAUGAGGGGAUUUCAACUUCUAAAGGCAUCACCGCCUCCAUUCCAUAUACCAACAUAUACGGGGUGGCUCCUAUUGAGGUUCGGACUUCGGUGUAGUACGCGUGAAGGGCCAAUGGCAACAUCUCAUGCCAAUCCUUGUAGGUGAAUAUCAUCUUCUGAAUAAUCUUCUUGACAUUCCUGUUAGCAACUUCUACCCUUUUGAUUGGGUUAACCUACGAUCCCAUCUGACGAUCUCCUUUAACCCGAAGCAAAGUCGGUGUGUAACUCGGUCAACCUGAAAUCCCAUCUGGCGAUUCCCUUUAACCAAAGCUAAACUCUGUGUGUGGUUAGGAUAACCUGAGAUCCCAUCUAGCGAUCUCCUUUAAUCCGAAGCAAAGUCGAUGUGUCACUCGGUUAACCUGAAAUCCCAUCUGGUAUUCCCUUUAACCAAAGCUAAACUCUGUGUGUGGUUGGGUUAACCUAAGAUCCCAUCUGGCGAUCUCCUUUAACCACAACCAAUACAAAAAUGUGUGUGUGGUCUCAUUAUGACGGGUGACCUACCCAAAAUGAAAGAUGGUCUCAUUAUGACGGGUAACCUACCCAAGUGGAAAAGGGGAAGAGUGGUCUCAUUCUUAUGGGUGACCUACCUAGGGGUAGAAUGGCCUCAUUAUAAUGGGUGACCUACCCAGGUAAAAAAAGAUGGAGAUUCAUUGUCAACCUCUUCAAAGUCUUCUUGUCGAUUUUGGAUGCCCCCAUGGGAUACGUCUGGUUUUGGAUGAAAUUCUUGAUAUCAUAGUACCAAGGGUGUAUUUCUCUUUCAACUGAGCAACAAUGAGCUGGGUUAUUUCUGAUAUCAAUGUGUACCGACUGUACCUUGUGCCCAAAGUCUAUUCUAGCCAUAGAAGCUAGCGUGACCAAAACGUUAGCAAACUGGCUUUCUUCCCUUCCUAGAUGGGUGAAUUCUAUUUCCUCAAAGUCUCCGGCAAAUUUACACAAGUAUUCCUUAUAAGGCCUUAACUUCUCUUCCUUGGUUUUUCAUUCUCCUUUUUACUUGGCAAAUUAUCAACAUUGAGUCUCCAUACACAUCUAUCUUUAUGAUGUUUAGCUCCAAUGCAGCCUCUAAAACUGAGAAUGCAAGCUUCGUACUCAGCUGUGUUGUUAAUGCACCCAAACUACAACUUAAAUGAAAUCGGAUAAUGUUUCUUAUCAAAAGAGAUUAGCACUGCCCUCACUUCAUUACCAACAACACCAUCAAAGUACAUAAUCCAUCAAUCUGAUUUCCCUUCCUCGACUGAAAGCACAUCUUCAUCAGGAAAAUCAAAUUUUAACGGCUCAUAAUCUUCCAUAGCAUGGCCAGUUAGGUGAUCGGCGAUGACAUUCCAUUUUAUGGCUUUCCUUGUCAUAUAUACUAUGUCGUACUCAGCCAGUAGAACUUGCCAUUUUUUCAAUUCGGCUUGAUAGAUAGGGGUGGAUUCAGUAGGUACUGCUUGAUUUUCUUGAAAGCUUUUUCACACUCUUAUUCCAAAUUCCAAGAUUCUUCUUCCUUAACAAUUGAAGAUUGGGUCACAAGUCAUGGUUAAUUGGGAUAUAAACCGAGCAAUGUAAUUCAACCUUCCCAAGAACCUUCUUACAUCCUUCUCAGUCUUGGGAGUUGGCAUAGAUUGAAUAGUCUUUACUUAACUAUGGAUCCACUUCUAUCCCUUUAUCACUCACCAAAAUCCUAACAACUUCCCAGAUUUCACCCCGAAUGAACACUUUGCAUGGUUAAGCCUCAACUUAUACUUCCUUUAGUCUUUCAAAUAAUUCCUUCAAUAUUUGGACAUGACUCUUUUCCUUUUUAGAUUAGCAGUCAUAUUAUCCAUGUAUACCUCAUUCUCUUUAUGCAUCAUGUCAUGAAAUAAAGUCAUUAUGGCCCUUUGGUAGGUGGCCCCGACAUUCUUUAACCCAAAUGGCAUGACCUUGUAACAAAAGGUUCCUUAUGGUGUUACAAAUGUUGUCUUCUUCUUAUCUUCUUACACCAUUUUUAUCUGAUUGUAGCCCGAAAAUCCGUCCAUAAAGGAAUAUGUGGAGCUACGUGCUGCAUUGUCAAACAUGUCUAUGUGUGGUAGACAAACCUUGAUUUUAUCUUCCUUUUUUGGUACAACCACUAUGUUGGACACCCAUUAUGGAUAUUUGACUACUUCUAAAAAAUCGGUGUUCCACUGCUUUUCAAUUUCUAAUUUUACUUUAAUUAAGACAUUCGGAUUGGUCCUUCUCAACCUUUGCUUAACCGAUUUGCAUCCUAUACCAACCAAGCAUAUCCUUAUAGGACCAGGCAAAAACAUCUACAUAAUCUCGGAGUAGUGCAAUCAACUCUUCUCUUUCUUUAAGGGUGAUCAAAGUCCAUAUCUUUAACUCUCUCUUAAUUUCUUCAUCGCCCACAUCUAUGGUUUCAAGCUCCUCUCUAGCGGGUUUCCAAGCUUGUUCAUGUUGUCUUAUUAAUUUUGUGAAUUCCCUAAUGUUAUUUUUCUCUCAUUCUUCCUCUUCUACAACUAAUAUGUAUUCUUUAAAGUUCGGCCAUUCAUUCUCAGUGUAGAGUACAGGUGUUGUUAUGGAAGAUCCGCUUUGAAAACGGAAAGUGAUGUGUGAAAACAUCAAGAUGAACUUUUGAAAAUGCAUGAUCUCAUUAAAAGGAAAAGUUUGGCUAAAAAAAAACAAGGAUAAAAUCCAAUUGACAUUUGGAACCUUGAUUUAAAAAGGUGAAAAGAAAAACAACACAAUAUCAUGAUCAAACAAGCAUUAUUGAUUAAAUUUUGAACACCAAUGGAGCUUCUUGGGUCUCCUAAUUCUGGAACAUCUCUCCCUUAGCUAGCUUUUGAAUGAAGGUUUUGAGAUUCAAGAUGCUUUGAGCUUAGGCUUGUUUGGAUGCAAAAAGAUAUUAUGGAGCAUACAUCCUAAGGAUAGAUUCUAGUUCCUUUAUGUGAGACAUUGGGUAGGUUUACUACUUGGUCUCUAAAGAGGGUCUCUAGUUGUCCCAGUGAUCACCCUCGUAAAGGCAAUAUAGGGGCUCAACAGAUAGUGGGAUGGAACGUAUACCAAUCACUACCAGUCUAAGCACUCAGCAAAGAGUUGGGGUUUACACAAACUUAAACCUUGACUCAAGUCAUAAGGCAUGUUGUUACCCAAUUUUUGACCCACCUUUUUGAUAAAAGUUUCAAAAAAAUCCAAAAUAGCGAAAAACAACGAAAAUCCAAAAAAAUAUGUUUUUAAUAUAUUUGCAUCGUUUUUAGUAUUUUCAACUUCGUCUAAAAAAGAAUUUAAAUUUUCAAAGGUUUUUGGAACGUGUUCGACUUUUCACGCAUCAUUUUUAAAAUCAUUGAUUUUCCUCAUUGAGUCAACGUUGAUAUUGCUCGUUUUCAAAAAAUACAAAAAAAUUAAGAAAAAUCAAAUUUACAAAAAAAAAUAAAGUUGAGGGACCAAUUUUGAGGCCCAAACAACAUUUUACCUAUAAAUAUGAGUCCACAACUCACACAAAAGGAGAAGUAAUUUUGCACAUUUGAGAAAAACACAAAAAAACCCUAACCUAAACCUAUCUCUUAAAAAAACCAAAGCCGCAGCCUCCCCCUAGCUGGAAUUGUUUUUCUCUUCCACACCGUAGCCCUAUUUUCUUCUUCCUUAGCCGCUCCCUUUCCCCAGCCGCAACCUCUACUUUUGGAUUUUUUGCCUUCAUCCCCUACACCCGAAAACCCCCAACUCCCUUUUGUUUUCCCCUCAGCUGACCGAAACCUUCAGCCUUCCACCAUCUCUUUCCCCCACAGACAAACCAACCCAACUCCUCCACAAUACAGACCCAGCUCCUCCAUCCAACAGCCCCGCAACCAUCACCAAAUUCCCUCUCCUAAAACCACAACUUCCCAGCCUCCCUUCACACAGGCCUUCCUCUCAACGUCGUGCUUCUCAUCUCUCGACCGACCCAGCUUUCUCUCCUUCACCCGACCUCCAGCAGCGGCAGUUUCUGCCCACAGUCGACAGACCCAACUUUCUCUCCUUCACCCGACCUCCAGCAACGGCAGUUUCUGCCCACAGCUGACAGACCCAGCUUUCUCUCCUUCAACCGACCACAAGCAGCACCACAGAACCGCCUUAUCUCCCCCGACCAGAGAACGGGCAGAGCCAUUCCCCAUCUCUUCAGACCCACGGCUCCCUAUUCAACCAGCAGUUCUUUCCUUCCUCAGCCGCCGUGCACACCGGCCAGCGGCAGCCCUUUAUCCUUCAGCGGCGCCCACAGAAGCAGCCCCACUUCCAACCGAGAACUGACGGUCGGAUCUGCAACCAGCAGAGAGCAACGAACCUAGAGAAAGAGAGAAGCCAGAAGAGAUCAAAUAAAAAAAAGGGGGGAAGAACCGAGACUUUGCUUGCAGUUUUUUCUUCUUUGCAGGUGACGUUAUUCCUACUGCCAAUGCAGAAGGGAAGAGGAGACAGAGUCUAGCCGGAUCCACCAGUUGUUUGGGGUUGUCUGUGGCAGCGCGUGGAACAGAUGCGCCGCCACGGGUCCUGCAGUUCCAGAAGUGUUCCUCUACAAUUCCUGAAUUUUUUAGGGGCUAUUUUGUAAAUUUGAAAUUGUGUGAUGUAAUUUUUGUUUAGUUGUUUUGAAUUUGUAUUUUGAAAUGUGGAUCUAAAAAAAAACAAAAGAAAAGAAGAAGGAAAAAAAUAUAGUAAAAGUGUAUGUGUGUGUUUGUAUGCUUUUUAUGGAUGUUUUUUUAUGAUAAAAUUGCAAAGAUUAAAGAAGAAUUUAAUAUUUUGAUUUGCUCAUGGUCAAGAAUUAUGAACUUACACAUAAGUCGUAUUUCUAAUAUCCGAUGAAAAGAAAAAAAAUUUAAAACUUCUUUAACACAUCAAAGCCACGAAGCAGCUUACCUCAGGUAGGGUGCGUUAGGGGUUCUAAUACCUUCCCUAACCACAACCAGUCCCUUACUCGUGAAUCUUUGACAAGACCAGUACACUAGGGUUUCCUAGUAACCCUCAAUAAAUACUAGGUGGCAACUCCCAAAGAAAGAAAUCAAUCAAUCAAAAUCGAAAAAUCGCCAACCGAUGUCGUGCGAGUGACGUGCGACAUAAUGACAACUCCACUAGGGAAGGUACUGUUUCUGACAAUACUGGAUUAAGCUUUGUGUAUUUGAUGUGUUUAAGUUUUUUGCAUUUUUGUCUUGUUUUAUUUUUGUUUUAUCCAUGCAUUUUUAGAAUUGUUUCAUGCAUCACCUGUAUUUAUUUUUGAAAGCACACACAAGCUUCUAAGUUAGGUGGUGAAUUAACGAUCUGCCCUAUGACUAUUGGUCAGGGUUCAGAUACGUGAAAAACCUAACUCAUAUCUGAGUGUCUGCUUGGUAAUGAUGGGUAUACGUGCCUUAACCAUUUCUUGCAACGCCCCUAUAUUGUCUUUACGAAAAUCAUCACUGGGCAGAUAUGAGACCCUUUUGAGACCAGGUAGAAAACCUACACAUGUUCACAUAAUGAAUAGAACCUGUUCUUAGGUUGUAUGUGCUAUUUUUAUUUGCAUCAGGGCAAACCCUUCUUGAAGCAUCUUGAACUCAAGACUUAUGGGUGACACAAUGACCGUCACGCAGAAAAUUUUCAUUGUAGAGUUUGGGGCAAGAAUCAAGAUUCUUGCUUCAUCAUGCAAGAGUUACGAUCAUAUGUCACCCCUCGAAGGGCGAGUUCAUCAUAUAGACUACAUGUUCAUACAUUUAUCAUGCAUGCACCGAGAUGAAAAGUAGGUCCCCUACAAGUCUGCAACACCUGACUUGGAGUCUCUGAAGAAAAGCUUGACUCGCCUCUAGCUUACUCGAGCAAAUACAUAGAAAUAACUCAAGGGAAGUUCCUUUCAACCGACCUAUCAUCUUUGUUCAAACCCCAACAACGACUCAACCUGAAAAAAUUGGGGGCAAACAUGGUCAAGAGCCUCAACACAAUCCAGCAUUUCUGCAAAAGCUUUUAUAGGAAGGCUGACCAAAGGGGAAUUGCACCACCAUUGCAGAAUGGAGCCUGUUCUUGUUCUGCCAAAAAAUAACUACCUCUGUUCGAUCAUGCCUGCAAAACUUCUUGAUUUUUGUUUCAACCUGUUCCAGUUUUUAUUGGUAAUUUGGCUCAAAAUUCCACAAGACUUUCCCUGUCCAAUAAGCCUUUCUUGUUAAUAAGAUCAUGUGUUUUGCUGUGUUCAUGACAUGCCUUCAUUUUUGUUGUUGUUUCAUGCAAAUAACACAUUGAGCAUAACCUUUAAACAUGAAACCAUUGUGCCGAAAAUCUUAUGGUGUGUUUCUCUUUUCUUCCUAAAUUAUGCAUGAUCUCACAUAUUCACAAGGAUUUUUAGGAAUUCAAAGUUUAGUACAAAAACAGAAAUCAUGUUGGUGUUUGUCCAAAACAAACGAGUUCUGGAAAUUCAAAUGAUUCCUUAGAGAGGUAAUGUAAUAGUCCCGACAUAAUCAAUGUUAUAAGAUUCCAACAUAUCCUCUUUAUUUGAGGGUAAAUUUUUUUUUUUUUCAAAAUUUCGGCAGAGUUUCGUUUGCAUUUAGGACAUCCCAAGUUAUCGACUACUAUCAGUUUACUUAAACGACCCAUCAUCACAAGGUCCCUUAAUUCCGGACCUCAUAUCAAACCUCAUAAUUCCACACCUCAUACAAUCCACACAAUAUAUAUCCUACGAGUAAGUUCAAUAUGAACAUAGACCAACACAAUUAUAUCAUAAAAUUUAAAGGAAAAGGAAUACUAACAUGCAAAGAAAGUAUUUACAAUAUAAGAAGUGUUCUUAGAUAUUUCAAAAGGGUUAAUUACAAGAUAACUAAAAUACUACAUGUUAAGCUGAACCUUUAUAAAUACAUCAAGGCUUGCACAAAAGUAUACUACAUAAACAUGUUAAUUUCCUUUUGUUUUAAGUUAAAUAUUUACAUAAAUUUUGCAAGGUAGAGUCCUAAACUAAUGAUCUUCCUGGAUGUUUGAUGGACAUGUUACAUAAAUAAACAUACCAUUAUGUUGAUAAAGAAUAUAUGUAUGCUCAUGUAAUGAAUACGAAUGAAGUAUUAACUUUCUAUCGAAUCCAUAAGAAUUCUAACAAAGAACUUAUAUUUUGCUUGUAAAUCUUUUAAACCCAAUUAACACCCAUUUGUAUAUUCUUAAUUGAAUAAUCUUAUUUACUUGCAUAAACUGGGUGACCUUGCAAGCUAAUCGUGUAAAUCAUAUCCCGGCAAUCCCAUCACGGAUGCCAUUAGCCGAAGCUAAUCGUGUAAAUCAUAUCCCAGCAAUCCCAUCACGGAUGCCAUUAGCAAUCAUAUCCUGGCAAUCCCAUCACGGAUGCCAGUAGCCGAAGCUAAUCAUGUAAGUCAUAUCGCGGCAAUCCCAUCAUGGAUGCCAUUAGCCGAAGCUAAUCAUGUAAAUCAUAUCCCGACAAUCCCAUCAUUGAUGCCAUUAGCCGAAGCUAAUCAUGUAAAUCAUAUCCCGGCAAUCCCAUCACGGAUGCCAUAGCCGAAGCUAAUCUUGUAAAUACACUAGGCUUUAUUUACAUUGAACACGAUAUUUAUUAUAAUUGCAUUCACCAGAAGGAUUCUAAAUUGUAUAAGUGCAAAUAGGAGGGAAAAUCACGCACCUGUUUCGCCUAUCUCGCGACCUCCCCUAACAAAAGAUCCGAUCCUGGUUGCUCCUCCUGAAUCACAAGGAAGUUUUUUUUUUGUUAUGAUUCUUUCAAGCCGAUAUUAUAGAGAAUUCAUAUUCAUCCAUUACUCAUAUGUUACUUUCUAUGCAUGUUCAUUUCCUCAUAAUAACAUACAUACAUAUAUCAUGUAUAUUUUCAGAGUUAAUAUCUCAAUACACAAGUGUUAGUAUGACUCAAUUCUUUUAUAUUCUUAUUUAUAGUAUUAACAUGAAAGUCUACUGUUACUGUCCAAUUUCCAACUGUUACUGUUUGACUUUGAACUGUUACUGUUUGACUUUUCCAACCGUUACUGUCUGACUUUUCCAACCGUUACUGUCUGACUUUGAACUGUUACUGUCCAAUUUCUAACUGUUACUGUCUGAACACUCAUCAGAUUUUUAACUAUAUCUAAAGUUCUAAAACUCCAUUUUAACUGAGAUUGAUCUCGUUGGAAAGCUAAGACACGAGGCUACUAGUUCUCUGAGAGAGGAGAACCCAGUUUUGCUUACAAGAUAGUCAAAAUUGCUCAUUUACUAAUUAGUCCUACUGCCCUACAUAAUCAGUCACGACUCAGUCUCAGUUGGUAACCCAUAACUGGAGUUCUACAUUUCCAAAUUGAGCAAGACCAGUUUUCUUAGUUAGCUAACAUUCAAAUCUACAAUUUCUAUGAGGAACCUGAUCCUAAUCCCCUCAUCCUCCUACCCGACAUCUCAUCGAAAGUUAGGAGACAAGUCUGUCCAGACUCGUCUCCCCCUUCCCUUCACACAAUACUUUCAUAAACUACAUACCACACACAUGAAUUAACUUAAUCUCAAUAAUAAGUAUGUUUUUCCCCAAUUUAUGUCUAAGAACCCUAACCUAUAAUUCAAUAUCAAGGCAUCAAUUCUUUAUCGAAUUUAAAAAAUGAUUUUUUUUUAGAUCAAGUUUAGAAUACCUUACCCGGUACAAAUUAAGAUUUUGAUCUUCAACCAGUUGAAGAUUCUCAACUCCCUCUUUUCUUUUCUUCUUGUUCAAUUCCCCUCCUGUCUUUUCUUCUUGUUCAAUUUCUUGGUAAUCCUUUGCUCUCAAGUGUUUAUCCCAUCUUUAAGCUCUUAAUCUUGGAUGGGUUCUUAAAAUUCUAGUGUUUCUCUCUUGAUUUCUCGAGAAUGGGUAUAAAACUCCCUAUUUUCUCUCCUUAUGUUCCUACAGAUUUUUUUUUUGAUGAGGAGAGAGUAUUUAUACUCUAUAUUUUCCCUUAUUUACAUUUAGACCCCCUUUUUUUUCCUUUAAGUGCAUUAUUCUCUUCAAUUAAAUCUAACCCUCAACAGUACCAGGUUUAUUAUAAUGUCUCGAAUUAUUUUGCCCAGAAAUUUAUAUUCAAAAAUUUCUGAAUUUCUGUUUUUAUUUAAUCAUAUACGUGAAUUUCUUCACUUUUAUUUAUUUAUUAUUUUUUUUUCCCAGGGUUUACAUUCUCCCCUCCUAAUAGAAAUUUCGUCCUCGAAAUUUAAGUGAUGUACCUGAGUUUAUAAACAAGUCGAGGAAUUUUCGUCUCAUUUCUGAUUCUCUCUCCCAUGUUUCUUCCUCAAUUUGUGAGCUUCGCCAUAAGACUCUGAUGAUGGGAACUUUCUUAUUACGAAGUUCUUUCUCGCCCCAUUUGAGUAUCUUUAUCGGUCUCACCUCAAGUUUUAAGUCUUCUUUUACCUCCACUGGCACUUGAGGUAACACUCUCGAAGGGUCUACAUCGGCUUUUCACAGCAAAGAAACAUGGAAUACAUUGUGAACCUUGGCCAACUGUGAGGGCAAGUUUAUUUCAUAAGCUACAGGUCCGAUACAUUUUCGGAUUUCGAAUGGUCCAAUGAACCUCGGAGCUAACUUCCCCUUCAUGCCGAAUCUCAGCAUGUGCUUCCAUGGAGCUACCUUCAGAAAUACUUUAUCUCUAGGACAAAAUUCAAGUGGUCUUCUUCGAAUAUCUGCAUACUUCUUCUGUCUAUCCUGAGCCACUUUCAUUCGAUCCUUAAUGAUCCUCACUUUUUUAGUAGUGAUUUGUAUUAAUUCCGCUCCAUACAACUUUCUGUACCCAACUUCUUCCCAACACAAGGGUGUCCUACACUUUCUGCCAUAAAGAGCUUCAAAAGGGGCCAUUCCAAUUGUUGUCUGAUAACUGUUGUUAUACGUGAAUUCUACUAGUGACAAGUGCUCCUCCCAGUUUCCACCAAAUUCCAAAGCACAUGCUCUAAGUAAAUCUUCUAAGAUCUGAAUAACUCUCUCAGAUUGGCCAUCAGUCUGCGGAUGAAAGGCAGUACUGAUACUCAAAUUUGUCCCCAAGGCACGUUGUAUGCUCGGCCAGAGACGUGAAGUAAAUCUUAGGUCUCGGUCUGAAACAAUUGAUAUUGGGACUCCAUGAAGCCUUACAACUUCGUUCACAUAAAUCUUAGCCAACUUGUCGACUGGAUCUGUCAUCUUUACUGGUAGGAAAAGGGCAGACUUAGUUAGUCGAUCCACCAUGACCUAGAUUGCAUCAUUUCCCCUCUUUCCUCUGGGUAGUCUCGACACAAAGUCCAUUGUGAUCAUCUCCCACUUCCACUCAGGGAUUGGUAAUGGUUGUAACAGCCCUGCCGGUUUUCGGUGUUCUACUUUUACUUGUUGGCAAAUACUACACUUUGCCACAUAACCAACCACUUUUUUUCUCAUAUUUGGCCACCAGUAGUACUGCUUCAUAUCCUGGUACAUCUUAGUACUACCUGGAUGUACAAUGAACUUAGACUCGUGAGCUUCUCGUAGUAACUUUUGUUUAAGGGCUUGGUUGUCAGGCACAUACAUACGUCGCCCCAACAUCACUAUUCCAUCAUCACCCAUUCGAAAAAGAGUUUCACCCCCCGAUUCCAGUUUGAUUCUCACUUUUGACACCUCAUCAUCAUGCUGUUGUGCCUCUAAUAUUUGCUCUCGAUAUCCUGACUUCACCCUUAGUUGAGCCAUCAAGGAUCCUUCCGGACUCACACCUAAUAUUGCCCCUAAUCUCUUUAGCUCAAUCAUGGUUCCCUCAUUCCAAGUCGUUGGUCCACUCCUAAUCACUUUGUCUUUACGACUGAGAGCAUCCGCGACGACAUUCGCUUUUCCUGGAUGAUAAUCUAUAAUACAGUCGUAGUCUUUAAUUAAUUCUACCCAUCUUUGUUAUCGCAUAUUCAACUCCUUCUGCGACAUCAGAUAUUUAAGGCUCUUAUGAUCCGUGAAAAUUUGGACCUGGGAUCCGUAUAGGUAGUGCCUCCAUACUCGUAAAGCAAAAACUACUGCUGCCAAUUCUAAGUCAUGAACUAGAUAGUUGACUUCAUGAGUCUUCAGUUGUCUCGAUGCAUAGGCAACUACUUUUCCAUGUUGCAUUAGAACACAACCCAGUCCUUUUCUUGAGGCAUCACUGUAGACUACAAAGCCUUCUGUUUCGGAUGGAAGGAUUAGUAUGGGGGCAGUAGUAAGCCUUCUCUUCAAUUCUUGAAAGCUCUCAUCGCACUCUUUUGACCACUCCCAUCUUAUGUUUUUCCUGGUGAUUCGUGUUAAUGGAGUUGCUAUCGUUGAAAACCCUUCGAUAAAUCUUCUAUAAUACCCUGCCAAUCCGAGAAAACUACGUAUUUCAGUUACCGUAGUAGGCCUUUCCCAUCUCAAAACUGCUUCCACCUUCUGAGGGUCCACAAAAAUGCCUUUUGAAGACACUACAUGCCCCAAAAAGGUAACUUCUUUUAACCAGAAGUCACAUUUAUCCAACUUGGCAUACAACUGGCGGCUCCUCAGAGUCUGUAGUGUCUGUCUCAGGUGUUGUUCAUGCUCCUCAUAGGAUUUGGAAUAAACCAAGAUGUCAUCGAUGAAUACGACAACAAACUUAUCAAGGUAUGGUUGGAAUACUCGGUUCAUUAAAUCCAUAAAAAGUGUUGGAGCAUUAGUUAAUCCAAAGGGUAGAACUAAGAACUCAAAGUGUCCGUAGCGAGUUCUGAAGGCAGUUUUCAGCACAUCUUGCCCCUUGAUUCGCAUUUGGUAGUAUCCUGAUCUUAAAUCAAUCUUUGAGAAUACUUUGGCACCCUUCAACUGAUGGAACAAAUCAUCUAUUCGCGGAAGUGGAUAUCUGUUCUUUACCGUUACUUUAUUCAGCUGACGGUAAUCUAUGCAAAGCCUCAACGUUCCAUCCUUCUUCUUCACAAAUAAUACAGGUGCCCCCCAAGGUGAGUUGCUUGGUCGUAUGAAUCCUUUGUCUAAAAGCUCCUGCAAUUGAAUUUUUUACUCAUCCAAUUCUUUUGGGGCCAUUCUAUACGGUGGUUGGGCUAUAGGAGACACCCUAGGCAAUAUAUCUAUAAUGACUUCAACUUCUCUUUCUGGGGGUAGUCCUGGCAAUUCUUCCGGAAAUACAUCCGGAAAUUCCCUCACAAUUGGAAUGUCGGACAGUCCUAUUUUACCCUUUUCUAAAUUUAUCACAUAGGCAAGGUAUGCUGUACAACCUUUCUUUAGUAGUUUUCUCGCAACCAUACCCGAGAUCAUAUUUGGAAAGUUGGAAGUUCUCUCCCCCUAUUGUUUCACCCUUAGCCCCUUGGAAGGUUACUGUUUUUGUAAAGCAGUCUAAACGAGCCUUAUUUUUGCCCAACCAAUUCAUACCUAGAAUUAUAUUAAAAUCACUUAAUUCUAGGGGUAUUAAAUCUGCUUUUAGUUCACACCCAUUAAUGUUAAUUCCCACCCCUUCAAAUACAACAUUUGUUUCCACAGUUUCACCCAAAGGUGUCCCAAUAACAAAUCCUUUUUCUACCCUUUUUGUUUCCUUACUCAAUUUGGUUACAUUUUUAUUUGCUAUAAAGGAGUGAGUGGCACCAGAAUCAAACAAAACAUGCAUUUGAUAGUCAUUCAUCUGCAGCAUACCUGCCACUACAUCUGAUGUUGCUCUGACAUCCUCCUGGGUCAUAUGGAAAACCCUUCCUUGAUCCCUUUCAUUUUGCACUCUGGGUCAUCCCCUAUUUGAGUUAGCUCCUGACUGAGUUGACCUUCCCGGUCUAUUUACUGUGAUAGACUGCUGAUGACUCUGACUUUGCUGCCUAUGUCUCUGAGGCUGUUCAGUGUUUAACUGGGGGCAUUCCCUUUUAAAGUGACCCUUCUCACCACAGUGAUGACAUCCUCUUCCCAAGUACUGACAGGUUUUCCACUUAUGACCUUCUCCUCGACAUAUAUAGCAUUGUCCAGGAGAAACCAUACAACUACCAGGGUGUCUUUGUUCACACUGAGCACAUCGAGGGUAGCCAAUUUCCUUCUGAUCAUUAUGCCCCCUUGCAGCUAUAACCCUAGAGCGGGUCUGACCACUUCCCGACCUCCCACUGAUAUCCUGUCGGAAGCUAGUUGAUGUCCCCCCUUUCUUUUUGAAUUGAAGGAACUGUUCGCCUCUACCUUUCUUUGGAAGUGGUGGCCUGCCUAAAAAUUCCAUAUCCUUUCGUUUUCUUGCACCCCCAUGACUCUGUUGGCCUUCUUCCAUACAAGCCUCCAAGGCCUGUGCUGCUUCAAUCAGUUCCCUUACUGUCUUGAAUUGCAAAGCAAUCAACCCCUGCUUCAAUUCUUGUCUGAAGCCAUCCCUUAACUUUUCUAUCAUGUGUUGUUCUGAUGGGACAUAAUGUGGUGCGAAUAGUGAGAGAUCAUGAAAUCGUCUCUCAUACUCGAGUACGGACAUUCCCUCCUGUCUCAAAGCUAGGAAUUCUUGUUCCUUCAUCUUUCGAUGAUAUUUGGAGUAAUAUUGAUUCUCAAACUCUAUCUUGAAGUCAUCCCAGGAUAGGGUUUUUGUAGCCCUCCUCAACUGAACUGUCUCCCACCAAGUCAUAGCACCGUCUGAUAGUAAUUGAGUAGCACAAUCUACCCGCAGAUCAUGUGGUAUCUUAAUUUGAAUCAUGGUUUUCUCCACCUUUCUAAUCCACUUUCCCGCCACUUCAGCAUUCUGUUCACCUGAGUAGGGUUCACAACCCAUUUCUCUCAUACUUUUCACCAAACGAACUAGUUGUACCACGUUAUUAAUAGUUGUAGCUGCUUCUGAAACGGUUGGUAUGAUGGGUGCAGGUGGGGGUGCUGGCAUAGGAGUGGCAGCAUUAGCCAUACCUUCCAUUACUACUUUGACUAGCUGGGCCAAGAGCAUCGGAUCAACAUAAGAAACAGAUGGCCCUGCAGGUGUAGUCUGAGGGGGCUCCUCUACUCGUUCCCGCGGGGCUGACGUGGUCGGCCGAACAUCCCCAGUUUGCCUUGGUGCCUGUCUAAUUUGAGGCCCCGACGAUUCUUCAUGCCCUGCUUGAGUCGAUACUACCGGUGCAUGUGAAGCAGUAUCUUCCAAAGGGCUCUCUUCUUGCUCCUCGGAAAAGUCUAUAUUUCUAUUCCCCCUCCCUGCAGAGGAUAGAUCUGUUCUAAUCUCUUGACGGGUACGUACCAUCCUGCAAUAAAUUAAUGAACAUCAACAAUCCUUUUUGAUUUCUUCCCAGAACCUAUACCAGGGCUCUGAUACCAACUGUAAUAGUCCCGACAUAAUCAAUGUUAAGAGAUUCCAACGUAUCCUCUUUAUUUGAGGGUAAAUUUUUUUUUUUUUUCAAAAUUUCGGCAGAGUUUCGUUUGCAUUUAGGACAUCCCAAGUUAUCGACUACUAUCAGUUUACUCAAACGACCCAUCAUCACAAGGUCCCUUAAUUCCGGACCUCAUAUCAAACCUCAUAAUUCCACACCUCAUACAAUCCACACAAUAUAUAUAUAUAUAUAUAUAUAUAUAUAUAUAUAUCCUAUGAGUAAGUUCAAUAUGAACAUAGACCAACACAAUUAUAUCAUAAAAUUUAAAGGAAAAGGAAUACUAACAUGCAAAGAAAGUAUUUACAAUAUAAGAAGUGUUCUUAGAUAUUUCAAAAGGGUUAAUUACAAGAUAACUAAAAUACUACAUGUUAAACUAAACCUUUAUAAAUACAUCAAGGCUUGCACAAAAGUAUACUACAUAAACACGUUAAUUCCCUUUUGUUUUAAGUUAAAUAUUUACAUAAAUUUUGCAAGGUAGAGUCCUAAACUAAUGAUCUUCCUGGAUGUUUGAUGGACCUGUUACAUAAAUAAACAUACCAUUAUGUUGAUAAAGAAUAUAUGUAUGCUCAUGUAAUGAAUACGAAUGAAGUAUUAACUUUCUAUCGAAUCCAUGAGAAUUCUAACAAAGAACUUAUAUUUUGCUUGUAAAUCUUUUAAACCCAAUUAACACCCAUUUGUAUAUUCUCAAUUGAAUAAUCUUAUUUACUUGCAUAAACUGGGUGACCUUGCAAGCUAAUCGUGUAAAUCAUAUCCCAGCAAUCCCAUCACGGAUGCCAUUAGCCGAAGCUAAUCAUGUAAGUCAUAUCGCGGCAAUCCCAUCACGGAUGCCAUUAGCCGAAGCUAAUCAUGUAAAUCAUAUCGUGGCAAUCCCAUCACGGAUGCCAUUAGCCGAAGCUAAUCAUGUAAGUCAUAUCCCGACAAUCCCAUCACGGAUGCCAUUAGCCGAAGCUAAUCAUGUAAGUCAUAUCCCGGCAAUCCCAUCACGGAUGCCAUUAGCCGAAGCUAAUCUUGUAAAUACACUAGACUUUAUUUACAUUGAACACAAUAUUUAUUAUAAUUGUCAGAUUGUUGUUACACCACCAUCUCUUAGGUAGUGCGUUUUCUAACCCUGCCUCUUUUCGAGUGCGCCUUUGAGCCCUCACCUCCUUUCAAGUGCGCCUUUGAGCCACCACUUCUCAAGAAGUGCGUUUUCUAACCCUGCCUCAUUUCGAGUGCGCCUUCGAGCCCUCAAUUCUCAGGUAGUGCGUUUUCUAACCCUACCUCCUUUCAAGUGCGCCUUUGAGCCACCAUUUCUCAAGUAGUGCGUUUUCUAACCCUACCUCCUUCCAAGUGCGCCUUUGAGCCACCAUCUCUUGGUAGUGCGUUUUCUAACCAUACCUCCUUUCAAGUGCGCUUUUGAGCCCUCACCAAUAUUUUUCAUGGUAGGUCACCCAUUACAACAUGACCAAUUCUCCAUAUUUUUUUUAUCUGAGUAGGUCACCCAUUACAAUGAGGCCAUUCUUCCACUUGGGUAGGUUGUACAAUGAGACCAACAUUUUUUUGGGAAGGUCACCCAUUACAACGCGACCAAUUCUCCAUGUUUUUUUAAUCUGGGUAGGUCACCCAUUAUAAUGAGGCCAUUCUUCCACUUGGGUAGGUCACCCAUUACAAUGAGACCACUCUUUCCUUUUUUCUUGGGUAGGUCACCCAUUACAAUGAAACCACUCUUUCCUUUUUCCUUGGGUAGGUCACCCAUUACAAUGAGACCAACAUUUUUCUAGGUAGGUCACCCAUUACAACGCCACCAAUUCUCCAUAUUGUUUUAUCUGGGUAAGUCACCCAUUACAAUGAGGCCAUUCUUCCACUUGGGUAGGUCACCCAUUACAAUGAGAGCACUCUUUCCUUUUUCCUUGGGUAGGUCACCCAUUACAACGCGACCACUUCUCCAUGUUGUUUUAUCUAGGUAGGUCACCCAUUACAAUGAGGUCAUUCUUCCACUUGGGUAAGUCACCCAUUACAAUGAGACCACUCUUUCCUUUUUCUUGGGUAGGUCACCCAUUACAAUGAGACCACACUUCACAUUCUUUUGUUUUGGUUAAAGGAGGUCGCCAAAUGGGAUCUUAGGUAGCUUUGGUUAAAGGGAAUCGCCAUAUGGGAUUUCAGGUUAACCGAGCUAUAUAUAUUUUUUUGUUCUUGUUAAAGGAGGUCGCCAGAUGGGAUCUCAGGUAGCAUCGGUUAAAGGGAAUCGAAUUGAGCUACACAUAUUUUUUUUAUUCUAGUUGAAUGAAGUUGCCAGAUGGGAUCUCAGGUAGCAUCGGUUAAAGGGAAUCGCCAGAUGGGAUUUCAAGUUGACCGAGCUACACAUAUUUUUUUUGUUCUAGUUGAAUGAGGUUGCUAGAUGGGAUCUCAGGUAGCUUUGGUUAAAGGGAAUCGCCAGAUGGGAUUCCAGGUUGACUGAGCUACACACAUUCUUUGGUUUUGGUUAAAGGAGGUCGCCAGAUGGGAUCUCAGGGUUAACAGAAAAAGAAGAGAGAGAAAAAAAAGAGAGAGAAAGGAGAGAGAAAAGAGAAGGAAAAGAGAAAGAAAUAGAAAAAAAAAAGAAGGUCUUUAGAUGAGUGGAUAUUCAAUAAGUUAGGAAGAUAAGAAGACAAGUUUUCUUUACAAAGCUUACUAUGCAAAACAUUGAGGAGUUUUGCUUCGUAAGCAUUGUAAAGAGAGGGCAUCUGUUGUUACCCAAUUUUUGACCCACCUUUUUGAUAAAAAAAUUUUAAAAAUCCAAAAUAGCGAAAAACAACAAAAAUCCAAAAAAAUAUGUUUUUAAUAUAUUUGCAUCGUUUUUAGCAUUUUCAACGUCGUCUAAAAAACAAUUUAAAUUUUCAAAGGUUUUUGGAACGCGUUCGACUUUUCACGCGUCAUUUUUAAAAUCAUUGAUUUUCCUCAUUGAGUCGACGUUGAUAUUGCUCGUUUUCAAAAAAUACAAAAAAAUUAAGAAAAAUCAAAUUUACAAAAAAAAAAAGAAAGUUGAGGGACCAAUUUUGAGGCCGAAGCAACAUUUUACCUAUAAAUAUGAGUCCACAACUCACACAAAAGGGGGGGCAAUUUUGCACAUUUGAGAAAAACACAAGAAAACCCUAAACCUAAACCUAUCUCUUAAAAAAACCAAAGUCGCAGCCUCCCCCCGGCUGGAAUUUUUUUUUCUCCUCCACACUGUAGCGCCAUUUUCUUCUUCCCUGGCCGCUCCCUUUCCCCAGCCGCAGCCUCUCCUUUUGGAUUUUUUGCCUUCAUCCCCUGCACCCGAAAACCCCCGACUCCCUUUUGUUUUCCCUCAGCUGACCGAAACCUUCAGCCUUCCACCAUCUCUUUCCCCCACAGACCAACCAACCCCAGCUCCUCCACAAUACAGACCCAGCUCCUCCAUCCAACAGCCCCGCAGCCAUCACCAAAUUCCCCCUCCUAGAACCACAACUUCCCAGCCUCCCUUCACACAGGCCUUUCUUCUUUGCAGGUGAUGUUAUUCCUCACUGCCAAUGCAUAAGGGAAGAGGAGACAGAGUCGAGCCGGAUCCACCAGUUGUUUGGGGUUGUCUGCGGCGGCGUGUGGAUCCAAGCCUAGUCCUAGGGUCCCUAGUGGAUUCCCCACCUAGUAUUAUGGUCACUAGGAACCCUAAAUGGUCUUUCAUAGAUUCUAAGCAAGGGACUGUUUGCGUAAAGGGGACGUAUUAGCACCCCUAGUACGCCCUACCUAAGGUAAGCUGCUUGGUGUUUGGUUUGCCUUAUAAUUGUUAUGGUGUUGAUGUUCUCUUAAUUAGUUUUCCUAGGAUAUGUUUGCUAUGAUGAAUGGAUUUAGGUUUAAAGUCUAAAAGCAAGAACCCUUGGCCAAUAUGGAUCAUACCUUUAGAUAUGUCUACAAAGUGCCAAGGAGAACCAAUGCAGAUCUCUUGAAAUCUGUGUUUGAUUCAAACUAAAAAAAAAAUUAAGAUAAAAAUCCAAGGAGAUUCCAUGUGCUUUAAAAGCUCAUUUUUCUCUUAGUAUUUCAAGAGUUUGCGACUUGUAAAUCACAAGGAGGAGGAACAAAAAUUUAGAAAUCUAAGGAAAUUCAGUGCACUUUAAAAGCCUAUUUUUGCCCUAGCAUUUCAUACUCUCACGACUCGUAAAUCGUGGAGUCAAAAAUUAAAAUGUCCUUAAUUAUAAUCAAGGCUUUUUUCAAGGAUGUGUGAUGACUUAUUAUUCCUAGAAAAUUAUUUUGGAUAUUUAUCACUUAGGGAUUAAUGUAUUAUAAUUAGAGUGAAAGAUAAAGAGAUGGGUCCGCAGGGCUGCAAAAGAAAUUAUAUUUAAGAAGGAAUGUGCCAAACCGAGCAUGAUGUCCUUGUUUGAGACCAUAAAGAGCCAUUUGGAGCUUACAAACAUGUUAUGGAUAUUGAAGAUCUGUCACUCUCGAAGGUUCUAUGUCUUCUAAAAUUAAACUAUGUAAGAAGGCUUUUUUUUUUUAAAUCAAGAUGAUGUAUGGACCAUUUCUGAACUAAAUUUAUGGUUAUAACCAUAUAGAUAGUUCCAAUCCAUCAACUUGGUGAUAUACCCCUUUGGUACCACUCGAGCUUUAAGACAAUCUAGUGAGCCAUCGAGUUUGAUUUUUGGUUUGAGAACCCAUUUAAAGCUAAUGACAUGCAUGGAAGUUGUGUGAGGAACAAUUUUUGAAGUUUGAUUUUUUUGGAGAGCCUCAAGUUCCUCUUCCAUGGCAGCCUUUCAGCUAGGCUGAGCUAAGACAAGCCGAAUAUUGUGAGGUUCAUGUGGAAUGGUUAUUGAAGAUUUAAGGGAACUUAAAGCAUAUUUUGGAUUAGGCUUGACAAUACCUCUUUGUGAUCUAGUAACCAUGCUAUAUGGUGGAAGAGGUGAAUGUGGAGAAUGGAAACAUUGUGUCUAUUCUAGUGAAACAAAAUCAGACUGUGAAAAAGAUGGGUAUUGCUCUUGCAUUUUAAGCUCAAUUUAAGGUGGUGCUAGAUGGAUUCAAUCAUGGAUUUAGUUCUAUCAAAAUGUCAAAUGUCAAUUUUUUCAUGUUGUUGAUUUAUUUCAGUCUUAUUUCCAGGUUCUAUUAGUUAUAGUUCAGUUACGAUUUCAAACCUAACAUGUUAACAUUCAAUUUUAUUUAGAGUAUUAACAGUAGCACAACCUACAACAUCAUGUGAAUCAAGAUAAAGUGUUGGAACGGCUGGUGAGGAGCUUAAGCAUGGUGGACUGGGUGUUGUGGGUUGUAUAUCUGCAACAAAAUUAGAAUUAGUAUGAAACAACCAUGAAUCAAAUAUGUUAACGACAUGUGAUGUAGAAGACAUAGUGUUACAAUUCUGAUAUUUUUUUAAAGGGAAAGAAUGACUCAUCAAAGACUACAUGACGAUAAAUAAAUAUUAUAUUACUGGAAGGAUGAAAAUAUUUGUAUCCUUUAUGUUUAUGAUUGUAUCCUACAAAGAUGUAAAUGACUGCUUUUGGAUCAAAUUUGUGUUGUUUUGUAUACUAGGUGUAAGGGAAGCAUUUAAACUCAAAGACUCCAAGAGAAAAAUAAUCAGGAUGAGUAACAUGCGGUGUAAAAUAUGGAGAUUCCAAAUUAAGAGUAGACGAAGGCAAUCUAUUUAUAUGGUAAACAACAAUAGUUAAUGCUUUAACCCAUAAAAAUAAAGAAACACCAUUGUGAAAUAACAUAGUGAUACCUAGUUAACAUAUGAUUCUAUGUCUCUUUUCAACUAUAAAUGUUUGCUCUAAAGUGUAAAAGCAUAAUACCUGAUGAACCACACCAGUUAAGAGAAAAUAUGAUGGUAGUUUGGAGUUUAUGAAUUCUCCUUCUCCAUCAAAGUGAAAAACCUUGAUUUGUUUGUUAAAUUGUCUAGAGACAUAAUAUUCAAAGACUAAAUAAGCAUUUGCAAAGUUAGACUUAUGUUGUAAUAUAUAUAAUAUCAGAAUUUUUCUAUUGAUAAAAUAGGAACAGGUCCCUAUACAUCACAAUUAUUUUUAUAAAAAAAAAUCAGAACUUGAGUGUUCAGAACAGGAAGAAGGUAAUCUACUAAGUUUCCUAAAUUGACAACUAUCACAAAAAUGUUCAUGUUUUACGGUUCCUAUAACAUCAUUUAAACCUUUAUUUUGCAAUACUUUUAGAGUGGAAAAUUAAGGAUGUCCUAUGCGAUGAUGCCAAAUGUCUGUUGAUCCUUAUCUGAAUUAAUGAGAGAAGUAGAGCUCGGGCAUGAUGAGAAGAAUAUAAAGAUUAUCCUUGCACCUCCCUAUGAUCACGGGUUGCCUUGUCUGUCAUUCCUGACAUAUGGUUGGAGGCUCCUAUGGCUGAUGUCCAUUAUGUUUCAAUGAUAGUAUUGUCCAAAGUGAGAGUUGUAAGAGCUUAUGGUAUGUCUUCAUAUUGAGUUGAUUAUUUUGGUACUUAGCAAAAUAUCUUUUCAAUAUAUCCUACUUAACCACAAUACUAACAAGUUUCUUCUCAAUAUAAUUCUUGUUAUGUAGGUGUCAUGUUGUUCAUCACGUGGGGGGAGGAAUUUUUGUUAAGGGCCUGAAGUAAGUUUGGAAGAGUAGGUAUGAUUUCUAUCUUUAGGCUGUUGUGCGCAGAAGCCUCUCCAAGUAGAUAUGAACUUAUUUUUGUUCCUAUAAUUUCUUAAAGGGAACUAUUGUGUAGGUUGUAGUUUUUGUCCAUAAACUCUUGUUAUGGGGUUAAUGAGUUUGAAUUAUUCGUAUGAUUUGAGCUGAUAUUUUUCCAAUAUAUGUUCUACUAUAAAUUACCAUCCUGAGGUGAGUUUACUGCUGUUGGAACUCCUUCAUCAGUCAGCUUCUCUUCACUGACAUAGGCUUACUGCUGUUGGUCAUUCCCAUUGGUUCGGGUCUCCUUGUUACUCCCACAAAUCAUGCUAGGUUGGUGGGGUUCUGCUAUUGUUAAUAUGUGCAUUCGCCCAUCAUUCUACUGGUAAUUUUUUUCAAAGAACGUAUUUCAAGAUUUUUACUUUCUUAGAGCCUCAAGUUCCUCUUCCUGACAUAUAUAUGGUUGGAGGCUCCUGUGUUUGAUGUCCAUUAUGUUUCAAUUAUAGUAUUGUCCAAAGUGAGAGUUGUAAGAGCUUAUGGAAUGUCUUCAUAUUGAGUUCAUCAUUUUGGUACUUAGCAAGAUAUCUUUUCAAUAUAUCCUACAUAAUCACAAUACUGACAAGUUUCUUCUCGAUAUAAUUCUUGUUAUGCAGGUGUCAUUUUGUUCAUCAGGUGAGGGGAGGAAUUCUUCUUAGGGGCCUCGAGUAAGUAUGGAAGAGUAGGCAUGAUUUCUAUCUUUAGGUUGUUUUGCACAGAAGCCUCUCCAAGUAGAUAUGAACUUGUGUUUGUUCCUAUAAUUUCUUAAAGGGAACUAUUGAGUACAUUGUAGUUUUUGUCCAUAAACACUAGUUAUGGGGUGAAUAAGUUUGAGUUAUUUGUAUGAUUGGUAAACCAAUUGUGUCUUUGAUCAAGACUUUGUAGUUGUGAGAUUGACUCGAAAUAUGAAGGCCUUGGUAGUUUUAGCAUGGUGGUAUUGAAAGUUUUAUAUUGAGGGCCAAUAAGACUAGUAAGGAGGCAAAAACUUUCUUUUUUUAUUUAAGACAAGUUUCUUAAUAGCGGCAAAAUUUUCACAUAAACCUUUGAAGGUAUACAUGUGUUCUCUAAUGGUUCUGUCAUUUUUUUUUUUGCGAAGAUAUAUAACUUGUUGUCUGAGAGUAAAUUAAUGUUCUUGUGAAUCUUCUGCAUAUUCAUUCUUGAGAGUAUUAUAGAUAGCAUAGGAUGUAUCUAAACCCAUAGCAAGGCUGGGUGUUUCUUUUAAAAGCAUCCCAAUUAUCCAUCCACGAAGAAGACAAUCUGCCUUUUGCUAGACAACGUAUUCUUCCGUUAGUUUUGGUGCAAAGAUGUCUGAAUCUGUAGUGUUAUUUGAGUCUAGUGUAGUGUACUUAAUGGGGGUUGGAUCUUCAUUAGUGAGGUGCCAACUAGCUCUUGAUUUUUUGCAAGAGCCAAGGCUUGUUCUCUCUCCACAAUGGAUAAUUUGUAGGGCUGAGUUUGAGGGUAAUAAAAUUACCAAUAUUGAGAGACGUUGUUGUCAUGUUGCAAGGUUUUGCUGAGAUUGUUGUAUGUUCACACAAGCUCCGAUAUGAUAAAGAAAAAUUGAAAGAAAAAGAUGUUUGAUAAGAAGAUUAGUUUUUUUAUUGAAGGAGACAUGAAUACAUAGCAGUACUUUUACAGUGCUUGAGUAGGUGGUAUUUAAGAUAACAAUAAAAUAUCAAUUUGAAUAGAAUCUGUGUAAAUAAAAUCCCUGGAAUAUGAUCUGUUACUUUGACUGAUAACAUUAACUAACAUGAUUUGAGCUGAUUUGUUUCCAAUAUAUGUUCUACUAUAAAUUACCAUCCUGAGGUGAGUUUACUGCUGUUGGAACUCCUUCAUCAGUCAACUUCUCUUCACUGACAUAGGCUUAUUUGAGGGAGUGUUUAUCCUCGUCAUUGCAAUUGUUUCGGGUCUCCUUGUCUCUCCAGUUACUCCCACAAAUCAUGCUAGGUUAGCGGGGUUCUGCUAUUGUUAAUAUGUGCAUUCGCCCAUCAUUCUACUGGUAAUUUUUUUCAAAGAAUGUAUUUCAAGAUUUUUACUCUCUUAGAGGAUAGGAUUUUUUCCCUGGAUAGGGUAGAAAAAUAUUGAGAAAGAAAAAGGAAGAAUUUGCUUCUUUUAUUCUUUUGCUCCAUGUAAAUUCAUAACCAAACUUUCUCAACGGAAUCUUUGUGAUUAAUGGAUAACAAAAAAGACAACAAACACCAUUGCACCAAAUGAUACAUUCCAUGCUAGAAAAUACAAUCACAUUUCUGGGCUUUCAAAAGACAAUCCAAGCAUGCUAAGACAAGGUUUUUCAGGACCUUCUUAUUAUGCAAAUUUAAAAGCAGUUACCACAAUACCAAGCUUUGACCUAUGAUCAUGGAGUCAUGUCUUGAUCCUUUUUUGGAACCCAAAUAAGAGUACUAUCAGUAGCCAGAAAGUGACAAACAGCCGGUCCUGGUUUAAUUUUGAGAACUUCAAAGGCCAUAUGGUCAGGACUCCAAGCUGAUGUGUUCAGGUGGCAUACGGUUACCUCUUUCACUUCUGCGCCAUCAGAAGCGAUUAAUGGAACCACAUAAACCUCUGUGCCUUCGAUUACAUGGCAAUAAUGUACUGCAUAAGGAUAUCUGAUCUUAUGACACACCGCUGCUUUAUGUUCUCCCCUCAUUUCCGCUUUUGCCGAAACAGUAUACUCUUGCUUCUUGCCUGGUUCAGUUGAGAGUACCUGAACAUUUUGGCCAAGCCUCGCAACAUUAAAAUCAAUUAAUGACUCUAGAGAUGUAGCACAAUAUUUUUCUUCUCCUUCCAUGUUCGGGCUCUCGCAGUAUCCUAUUUCAUCAUUGAUAAUCUCAGCCUCUUUUGAGUUGACUUGUAGAGAAAAGUACUUCAAAAUCUCCGGAAAUUUGUCACUUGAAAAUGGUAUAGACUCUGCGACUCGACGAGGCAAGAAACCAACCUUGGUUCCACUGUUAGUAAAAAGCAAUUUCAUCUUUUUACCUGGAUGGAGAUCGUUGUACAAGUAGAAUAUUGUCGAGUCGGGGAGAGCAGAUUUUGCGGCUUUUUUAUGGUUAUCUGCUCCAUUAUAGUUUUUUCCAUAUUUUUGACGAGCAUCAACGCUAAUUUUUUCGCCAUUACUGAAAUCUCUGAUCACUGAAGGAUAAUAACCAGGUUGUAGAGUAUCUCGAAGGGCUUUUGGCAAUGGAGUGUUGGGCAACCUUGAGAACCAAUACUUCUCAGUGGGUGGAGAAUUAUCGCCCGGGAGGAAGCUGGGCACUUUGGUUGGUAAAUGGACAGCAGUGGGAAAGGAAAUGUGGAGGGAGAGAGUUAGAAAGAAGAUCAGCAAUGGUGCACCAGAAAUGGCUGGAGACAUUUUUCAAAUAAGGAGAUUGAUGAUUGAUCGAGGAUGGUAAAGUACAGAGCUGAGUGACGUUAUUUAUAGAGAGGGGGAGGGGAUCAGGGCAACGUUUGCAUAUUACUUUAAUAAUUAAAUUAAAAAAAAAUUUAAACAAAAAAAAAAGUUGAAAGGUUUGGUGCCUUCAUUGCAGCAUCCUCUCAAAAAAUUGCCUUAAGUCUUUUUUUUUCUUUUUUUCACCUAUAGUUUUUCUACUGUGUUUUAGACUAAAACUUCAUUUUCUUUACAUAUCAAUUCUUGAGUUUAAGGAAAAAAAGAGAAAAUAUUUUGUUAGCCACAUACUAACAGUAAAAAAGAUUAUUUUUGGUGUCAAUGAGUUUGUAUUAUCAAGAGGAGUUUAAUGGUUGUAGUGUUUUCCUAUAAAUAUGCCGGAAAAGUAGAUCACGAUCUUUUUUUUUAAUUUGGUUGAUUUUUAUAUUAUUAAAGCGAGUUUUAGGUGUUUUGGGGCCUCAAUUUUCUUAUCAUUAAAGAAGAACAUAAGUCAGUCAAUCAGGUGACGGGUCGUUUACCGCGGUAGGGGACUUGUUGCAAGGUUAAAAAAAUGGAGCUUUUGUUGCUUCUAAUAAAGAAAAAAAUAGACAAUCGUGGAUGCUUGGCCUUAUUUUUAAUAGGCCAAGCGUGCUAAGUACCCAGGCCCACACACUAGCCUAUUUUUGGGUUUUUUUUGUUUUUCCUUUAAUUUCAAUCUAGUUUCUUUUAAAUUAAUUUUUUUAAAAUAUAUUACAUAUGUUAUUUUAUUUAAACCUUGAUUUUUCAAUCAUUGAAGAUGAACAAAAACUAGUCAAUCAAGCAACGAGUCGUUUGCCACAGUAGGUAACUUGAUGCAUGUUAAAACCAAAUGGAGUUUUAACUCCUCAUAAAUAAAAAAAUAGACAGUCAUGCAUGCCUUAUUUUUAAUGGGCCAAGCAUGAUAGGUACCCAGGCCCACCCAUUGGCUUGUUUUAGGUUUUUUGUUUUUUAAUUUCAACCUAGUUUUUUUUAUUAAUUUAUUUGAAAUAUAUUAAAUAUAUUAUUUUAUUAUUCUGAAGUGAUUGAUCAUCUUCUUCAGCAAUGUUUCUUAAAGAAGAAGAAGAUAUUUUAGAAACUCUACCAUCUAAUGUGUGUGACCAAACUUUUAUGCAAGGCAAAAAGAAAAGAGAAAAUAAAGAAAAUAAUAAAAGUGAAAAGUAAAACAAGAAUAAAAUUUAUAGUUUAUACACAAUCAAAUAAUUAAUAUCUUCUCUUAAGUGCAGGAGUGUCAAAGUAGUAAUAUUGGGGUCGAUCUAUAAGGAGGUUGACUGGUUGAGUACACGUAACCAUAAAUAAUGAAAAAAAAAGUGAGUUAAAGAGAUUUUUAAGAUGCGAUAUUAAUAUAAAGAUUUAAUAAAGAUAAAAGAAUUGUCAAGGCUAGAGGAUCCACUAAAGGUAUUUCAAAUAAGUAUAGUCUAAACUCUUUAUAUUGCUCAACUGAACACACAAAGAAGAUUCCAAUCGAAUGGUUUAAUAUCUCAUUUUAAGUUAUUAACAUGAUCAUAUUAAUUAUCUCUAAUUAUUUUAUUUGAAUAAUAUCAAUACUUAUAAAUAUUGUUAAGUAUUCAUGGUGCUAAUUUAUAUCAUUAACAAAUCAAGAUCCUUUCAUAGCACAAGUGCCGGUUCUCUAUGUGGUAGGCUAUGAAAGAAUCAAGAAUUUAUUAUGUCAAUGAUUAUACACCAUGAAUCAAGACUCACCACUUAACCAGAAAGAUAUUAAAAUGAUUAAGAUAACAAUUACACCACAUAUUAAUAACAAAUGUUCUUGAAUUUAAACAUUAAAGUCCAUGAUAAGUUUGUACUAUACUUAUUCUUACAUCAUUAGUAUAAUAUUUGGCAAAAAGAAACUUAUUAAACAUAACUAAGAAAAAAAUAUAAAUAAACAAGAUGAGAACAUAGGUAUGAUAAAAAUUAACUAAGCAUAUAAUAAGAAAAAUAAUAAGUAUAAAUAAGAGAUUAAUAAGAAUACAACAUGAUAAAACCUGAUAUUAUAAAUUCAAAUAAAUAAAGAAAGAGAAUGUAUCUUAAACUCAAAACCAAUACAUCUAAAUAUAUAGUCAAUACUUUCUUUUAUAGGCUAAAAUUUAGAAUUCUUGAUAUGGUGGAUAACUAUUAAUUUGAUGGUUGGAAAAAAAUCAUUGAUAACAUAAUAAUCUAAAUAGAUAAUCUCAUGAAAGUUGUAGAUAUUUGUCUCAUAUUUCCAACCAAAAAAGAAUGGGCUUAUUUGAGCUUUUAGAAUUCCAAAUAUGGGAUGAACAUUGAACAUUGUCCAGGUUGUAGACAAAUUCAGACUCCUUUUUUAUUGCUACAAUUUGAACUUAAAAGUAGUAGUAUUGAGUCUUGAGAUAUUCAUGAAUAUUUUAGGCCUGUAUUUUAUCUUUCUAUAAAGCUAAACUACACCUGAAUCUGAGGUCAAUAGCUCCAGAUAUAUCCUAAAAACCAAACGAUGUUCUAGUUUGAAUAGAACCAGCUCAACAAGGAUUCUCUUCUCUAAGCUUAGCAAUCUCUUUGUUGUCUCUUCACAUAAAUCUUCUUCACAUAAAUCUCAAUUUCAAUAAUUAAAUGCAUCAAUCAGUUCUCUGAAUUGUGAGGUAUGUCUGUUUUAUAAACCUGCAUUUAAAACGUAGCAUUUAUCAUAAAUUAAAGAUAUCUUAUAUUAUCAAACUUGUUAUUAUAAAACAUGCUUAAGUUAGAUAACUUAAUGAUACUUUAAGUGCAAUAUGAUUAUAUAAAACUCGAAUAAAAAUGCACUUUUAAGUACUUAUUAAUAAGAUUAUAACAAACUCUUAACAAAAUUAGCAAUCGUUCUUUUAUGCAACCAACCAUAAUCAUUUUUUUAAUUUUAUUGGUUUGCUUUCUUGUGAAUGACUAUUUUUUUAUCAUAUAAUUAAAUAGCAAAUGGUUUCCAAAAAGAAAAAUUAAAGUAAUUAAACCUAGUCAGGUUAGUAAACUAGGUCGCGAGCUUGGUAGGCUAACCGAGGUUAACCCGAUUUGAUCCAAGAUGUCAUCUCUUUAUAUUUUAAAAAAUAUUUCAUCUUGAAAUUGUUUUAGUCAAGCUGGAUUUUCAUUAAUUGUCUAUUUGUAUUUGGACUAACCAUGUCGAUCGGUGUACAAGGCAUUUCCAUGUGGAAAAUACGGUAUUUGUCUUUUGCAUCUUCUUCGUAGUAUUAAUAAGAAUGGAAGAACUAAAUCAGGUGAGAGGAGAGAACAACAAUAGGGUAAUGAGUAGGGGUGAGCAAAAAAACUGAAAAACUAAUUAAACCAAGAAAACGGAAAAAAAUAAUAAUAAAAAAACCAAACUGUGAAAACAAACCGAUUAAAAUUUUUAAAAAACCGACUGGUUCGAACCGGUUUUUGUUAUAAAAUAACUAAACUAAACCGAAACUGGUCGGUUCGAACUGGUUCUGGUUGGGUUUUUAAAAAAAAAAUUAAACCGGUUUGAUUACUUUUUUUAAUAAAAACUAAACAAAAAAUGGUCACUCCUAAUAAUGGGUUAAGGACCAAGGAUGAUUGAGUAGGAACUAAUUUGGACGGAAUCGAAUGAUUACGAGCAUAGACAGUGAAAUAAAGCCAAGAGGGGAGAGCACUUAGACAAUAUAGGUAAGUCUGCUGGAAUGAAUUUUUCAGGACCUAGCUUAAAUAGAAAGCGCAGGAAAGCUGAUUGACGGUAAUCAGACACUGAAUUGCCACACUGGUUUUCAGGGAGCUCUCAACUGCUGAAGAGGAACUAGAAAAAAAUUUAAUUAAUGUCACAAACUCUAAGUAUUUUUAUUAUAAAUCUAAUAUUAACAUUUUUCAAUUAGUUGUAUAAUUUUUUCUAAUAAAAGAUUAUCACAAUUAUAAAAUAUUAGGGUUUAACACGUGAUACCUACCAUACAUAGAGUUUUUCCCUGUGAAGGAAAACAACUUAAAAAUUCCAAGUUAAAUCUUGUCUCUCGCAUGGCCUUAUUACACAUAUAUGUCUGGAAGGAUGAGAAAAGGGAGUAAGAUAGAAAUCAAUCUGCAUAAUUCUUGAUAAACAGUAGAAAAAGAAAAAGAGAAAUCUCCAGUCCUAAAAAAUACAACAAUUCAACAAGCAGGUGUUUGUCAAAACACAGACAACUUAACAGUAAUGUGACAACAUGAAUCUUCAUAAAUCCCAAGAUGAAACAAAUAGUGACCAAUCAAAAUCGAGAAUCUAAACCGUGAAACCAGUUUUAAAUCCAGCAAGCAACUAACUUUCUCCAUCUUCCACAUCCAAAAAACUACAACAAUUAAAGUAAUUCAAUGCAUGUACCAUGUUAAAUACGCAUAACCCUAUGAUAAAAGCUGCAACCAACCCAUCCUCAAAAAGACAUAAAUCGCUUCGCAAGCAACAUCAUCGUCAAAAAAUCCUGAUGACUGAUCUAUUGUCUUCAAAGUAGCAAUUCAUCUACACCCAUUAACUUAUGCACACAAUCUAAACUCUACAACUAAAUGCUUCAAUAACUAACUGAAGAUAGACAUUGUUGGAAGAAUGGAGCUAUGAUCAAGGCAAAAAAUAGAAGGCAGUGACAAAAAUACAAACCUAGCAAAGGAGAGCUUCCAAAAAGGAAAUAACAAAGAGGAAGAAACAAUGGAAGCUAGUCAACCUUAGAGAACUUAGCAUCGAAAUAAAAGAAAACAAAACUAAGCAAAUGAAAAGCAAGGAAGAAAGGUUUGUCAAAAUCAAGAGGAAGAACAAUGGUAGGAAACUAAAUGGAUUUUUUAUUUUUUUCAAACUCGUAAAAUCAGUCCGAGUUUAACCUAAUUUUACGAGUUUGACCCGAUUUUGCGAGUUUUCGAGUUUUUAACUUGAUUUUGCACGUUAUAUACAUGUUGACUUGUAAAAUCAUAUGAUUUUACGAGUCAACUCAUGAUUUUGAUAAUAAUGGAAGGUAUUUAAGAUAACAAUAAGAUAUCAAUUUGAAAUACAAUUUUACGAGUCAACUCGUGAUUUUGAUAAUAAUGGCAAGUAUUUAAGAUAAAAAUAAGGUAUCAAUUUGAAAUACAAUUUUACGAGUCAACUCGUGAUUUUGAUAAUAAUGGCAGGUAUUUAAGAUAACAAUAAGGUAUCAAUUUGAAUAAAAUCCGUGUAAAUAAAAUCUCUAUGAUAUGAUCUGCUGCUUUUACUGAUUUGAACAUUAAUUAAUGUUAUCUGAGUUGAUUUGCUUCCAAGUUAUGCUCUUCUAUAACAAAAAAAUUCCUUGUUAUCAUGAAUCACCAUCUUGAGGUGAGUUUAAUGUCGUUGGGACUCCUUCAUUAGUCAACUUCUCUUCACUAAGAUAGGUUGAUUUGUGAGAGUGCUCAUCAUUGUCAUUCUAAUUCUCUCAGUCUCCUUGACACUCAAGUUACUCCCACAAAUCAUGCUAGGUUGUCGGGUUCCGCUAGUGUCAACACCUCCCCUCAACCUAUAUCGGGGCUUGAGGCAAAGUUUGCCUUUAAAGUAGCUCAGUGAAACCUUUAACAUAGUUUUGGUGAAGAUGUCGACUACUUGAUUAUUAGUGGAGAGGUGUUGAGUGUUGAGAAGUCCAAGUGCAACUCGUUCAUGAAUAAAAUGAUAAUCUAACUCAAUGUUUUUGUUGCGAGCAUGAAACACUGGAUUAAUUGUCAUAUGAAAGCACUAAGAUUGUCACAAUAGAGGAUUGGUAGAGAAGAGAGUGGAAUGUGAAGAUCUUUUAGAAUAAAGGUUAUCAUCGUAAGUUUUGUUGUUGUAUUGGUCAUGACUCUAUAUUAUGAUGCAAUGCUUGAUCAAGAGGUAAUAUGUUAUCUCUUUGCACACUAGGAGAUGUGGUUUCUUCUAGGAAAUAUGUAGUAUCUAGUGGUGGAACAUCUUAUGGUGGAGUAAUCUCCCUAAUUUGCAUAUGAGAAAAAACAAAGAUCAAGUGUAGCAUGGGAAGUAAAAUAUCGGCCAAUAUCAAUGGUUCCUUUCACAUAUCUUAAAAUGUGAUGAACCAUUUGUAAAUAUAUAACAAUCGAAGCAUGCAUGAAUUGAGAGACAAAGUUAACAUUGUAUAAAAGAUCAGGUCGUGUUAGUGUUAGGUACUGUAAGGCACCAACAAGUCCAUCAAAAGAGUGUGGAUCUUCUAGUAACGUGUCAUUUGUUGUGAUCCUAGUCUUAGCUUAAAAUGGCAUGUUCAUGGGUUUACAUUCCACCAUUUAAGCUUGUUCAAGGAUGGUAAUAAGAUAAUGUGAUUGGGAAAGAUGGACCUUCAGAUGUGUGAGUGAUCUCAAUCCCAGGAAACUAAUGAAUUGGUCCCAGAUAUUUCAUAGCAAAUUUUGAACACAAAAGGUGAAUAAGGUUUGUAACUAAAAUAAUAGAAGACCUUAUGAAAAUUAUAUCAUCAAUAUAAAAAAAAAAGAUUAAUGUAUUAUAAUUAGAGUGAAAGAUAACUAGAGAUGGGUCUGUAAGGUUGCAAAAGAAUUUAAAUUUAAGAAGGAAUGUGCUAAAUCGAUCAAACUGAGCAUGAUGUGCUUAUUUGAGACCAUAAAGAACCAUUUAGAGCUUACAAACAUGUGAUGGAUAUUGAAGAUCUGUCAUUCUCAAAGGUUUUAUGUCUUCUGAAAUUAAACCAUGUAAGAAGGCUUUUUUUUACAUCAAGAUGACAUAUAUACCAUUUCUGAACUAAUUUUAUAGUUAUAACCAUGCAGAUAGUUCCAAUCUAUCAACUUGGUGAUAUACCCAUUUGGUACAACUCGAGCUUUAAGACAAUCUAGUGAGCCAUCGAGUUUGAUUUUUGGUUUGAGAACCCAUUCAGAGCUAAUCAGAUGCAUGGAAGUUGUGUGAGGAAUAAGUUGCCAAGUUUGAUUUUUUUGGAGAGCCCCAAGUUCCUCUUCCAUGGCAGCCUUUCUACUAGGGUGAGCUAAGAUAAACCAAAUAUUGUGAGGUUCAUGUGGAAUGGUUACUGAAUAUUUGAGGGAACUUAAAGCAUAUUUUGGUUUAGGCUUGACAAUACCUCUUUGUGAUCUAGUAAUCAUGGUAUGUGGUGGAAUGAAGAGGUGAAUGUGGAGAAUGGAAAAGUAGUGUCUAAUUUUAGUGAAACGAAAUCAGGCUGUGAAAAAGAUGGGUAUUGCUCCAACAUUUUAAGCUCAAUUUCAGGUGGUGCUAGAUGCAUCUCAAUCAUGGGUUUAGUUCUAUCAAACUGUCAAAUGUCAAUUUUGUCAUGUUGUUGAUUUAUUUCAGACUUAUUUACAGGUUCUACUAGUUGUAGUUCAGUUACGAUUUCAGUCCCAACAUGAUAACCUUUAAUUUUAUUUAGAGUAUUAACAGUAGCACAACCUACAACAUCAUGUGAAUCAAGAUAAAGUGUUGGAAUGUCUUGUAAGGAGCUUAAGCAUGGUGGAGUAGGUGUUGUGGGUUGUAUGUCUGCAAAAAAAUUAGAAUUAGUAUCAUGAAUCAAAUAAGCUAACAAUUUAUGAUGUAGAAGACAUAGUGUUCCAAUUCUGAUAUUUUUUUUAAAGGGACAGAAUGACUCAUCAAAGACUACAUGACGAUAAAUAAAUAUUCUUUUACUAGAAAGAUGAAAAUAUUUGUAUCCUUUAUGUUUAUCAUUGUAUCCUACAAAGAUGUAAAUGACUGUUUUUGGAUAAAAUUUGUGUUGUUUUGUAUACAGUGUAAGGGAAGUAUUUAGACUUAAAGAGAAGAAUAAUCAGGAUGAGUAACAUACGGUGCUAAAUAUUGAGAUUCCAAAAUAAGAGUAGACAAAGGCAAUCUAUUAAUAAGGUAGACAACAAUAGUGUUAACCCAUAAAAAUAAAGGAGCACCAUUAUGAAAUAACAUAGUGAUAUCUAGUUAACAUAUGAUCCUAUGUCUCUUUUCAACUAUACAUGUUUGCUCUAGAGUGUAAGAGCAUAAUACCUAAUGAACCACACCUGUUAAGAGAAAAAGUGAUGAUAGUUUGGAGUUUAUGAAUUCUCCUCCUCCAUCAAAGUGAAAAACCUUGAUUUGUUUGUUAAAUUAUCUAGAGACAUAAUAUUCAAAGACUAAGUUAGACUUAUGUUGUAAAGGGAUUAUCCAAGUAUACUUAGAGAAAUCUUCUACUAAAUAUACAUAAUAUCUGAAUUUUUCUAUUGAUAAAAUAGGAGCAGGUCCCUAUAAAUCACAAUUAUUUAAAAAAAAUAUCAAAACUUGAGUUUUCAGAACGGGAAGAAGGUAAUCUACUAAGUUUUCCUAAAUUAACAACUAUCACAAAAAUAUUCAUGUUUUACGUUUCCUAUAACAUCAAUUAAGCCUUUAUUUUGCAAUACUUUUAAAGUGGAAAAUUAGGGAUGUCCUAAGCGUUGAUGCUAAAUGUCUGUUGAUCCUUAUCUGAAUUGAUGAGAGAAAUAGAGCUCAGGCAUGAUGAGAAGAAUAUAAAGAUUAUCCUUACACCUCCCUGUGAUCACGAGUUGCCCUGUCUAUCAUUCCUGACAUAUGGUUGGAGGCUCCUGUGUAUGAUGUCCAUAAUGUUUCAAUCAUAGUAUUGUCCAAAGUGAAAAUUGUAAGACCUUAUGGUAUGUCUUCAUAUUGAAUUGAUUAUUUUGGUACUUAGCAAAAUAUGUUUCCUAUAUAUCCUACUUAACCACAAUACUAAUAAGUAUUUUCUCGAUAUAAUUCUUGUUAUGUAGGUGUCAUGUUGUUCAUCAGGUGGGGGGUGGAAUUUUUGUUAGGGGUCUGGAGUAAGUUUGGAAGAGUAGGUAUGAUUUUUAUCUUUAGGCUAUUAUGCACAGAAGCCUCUCUAAGUAGAUAUGAACUUGUGUUUGUUCCUAUAAUUUCUUAAAAGGAACUAUUGAGUACGUUGUAGUUUUUGUCCAUAAAUGCUAGUUAUGGGGUGAAUGAGUUUGAGUUAUUCGUAUGAUUGAUAAAUCAAUCGUGUCUUUGAUCAAGACUUUAUAGUUGUUACACUGACUCGGAAUAUGAAGGCCUUAGUGGUUUCACCGUGGUGGUAGUGAAAGUUUUAUGAGGGCCAAGGCUAGUGAGGAGGCAAAAACGUUUUUUUAAUUUAAGACAAGAUUCUUAAUAGGUGCAAAAUUAUCACAGAAACCUUUGAAGGUACAAAUAUGUUCUCUAAUGGUUCUGUCAUCUUUUCUGCGAAGAUAUGUAACUCGUUGUCUGAGAGUGAAUUCAUGUUCUUGUGAAUCUUCUGCAUAUUCAUUCUUGAGAGUAUUCUAGAUAGCAUAGGAUGUAUCUAAACUCAUAGCAAGACCGAGUGUUUCUUUUAAAAGCAUCCCAAUUAUCCAUCCACGAAGAAGACGAUCUGCCUUUCACCAAACAACAUAUUAUUUGGUUAGUUUUGGUGCAAAGAUGUUUGAAUUUGUGGUGUUAUUUGAGUCUUGUGUUAAAUUAAUAUUUUAAAAAGGUGAAAGGUUUGGUGACUUCAUUGUAGCAUUCUCUCAUAUUAAUAUUGUUUUUUUUUAUCCCUUUAAUUUCAUUUUAUCAUUUAUUUGUUUUUAAUUCCAUCCUUGUAAAUAGGGUUAAAUGGGAUUUUGGGUUCUUGAGGUGUCAAAAUGAUGUUCUAGCAUUGAAUUAAAACUUUAUUUGGCAAGAUAUGGUUCAGUUUUGUUGGUUAAAAAAUUGAAUUUUUUAUGACCAAAUUAAUUUGAUAGUACAACAGAUGUGCAUCCCCUUGUGUAAUCAAUGUCCUUUUUAAAAAAUUUUAUUUAAGUCUUUUUUUUUCAUUUUUUUAUCCCUAUAGUUUUUCAUCUAUGUGUUUUAGACUAAAACUUCAUUUUCCUUACAUGUCAGUUCUUGAGUUUAAGAAAAGAGAGAGAGGGUUGUCAAAAACUGGCUGGGUAGAGAGAAAAAUUUGGUUUACCACAUACUAACAACAAAAAAGGUCAUUAUUGGUGUCAAUGAGUUCAUAUUCUCAAGAGGAGUUCAAUUGUUGGAAUGUUUUCCUAUAAAUAUGCUGGAAAACAUAGAUCACGGUCUAUUUAUUUGUUUUAAUUUGGUUGAUUUUUAUAUUAUUAAAGUGAUUUUUAGGUGUUUUGGGGUUAGGAAUAAGUUUAUCAAUUUUUUUUUUUUUGGGGGGGGGGGGCGGGGGGGUAUUUUAAGAUGAAAAUAUCUCAAAAAAAUAGUUUUUGGAGGUCAAAAACUUGGACCUCAAUUUUCUUAUCAUUUAAGAAGAACAUAAACCAGUCAAUCAAGUGACGGGUCGUCUACCACGGUAGGGAACUCAUUGCAAGUUUAAAAAAAUGGAGCUUCUGCUGCUUCUAAUAAAGAAAAAAAUAGACAAUCAUGUAAGCUUGACCUUAUUUUUAAUAAGCCAAGCAUGCUAAGUGCCUAGGCCCAUGCACUCGCUUAUUUUGGGUUUUGUUUUCCUUUAAUUUCAAUCUAGUUUCUUUUAAAUUAAUUUAUUUAAAAUAUAUUACAUGUGUUAUUUUAUUAAACCUUGAUUUUUCAAUCAUUGCAGAUGAACAAAAACUAGUCAAUCAAGCAACGAGUCGUCUACCACAGUAGGUAACUUGAUGCAUGUUAAAAAUAAUGGAGUUUUCACUCCUUCUAAUAAAUAAAUAAAAAAUAGACAGUCACGCAUGCUUGGCCUGCUAUUCCUAUAUGUCUAGCCUUAUUUUUAAUGGGCCAAGCAUGUUAGGUACCUAGGCCCACACAUUGGCUUGUUUUGGGUUUUUUUUUUAACUUUAAUUUCAACCUAGUAUUUUUUAAAUAAUUUAUGUGAAAUAUAUUAAAUAUAUUAUUUUAUCAUUCUGAAGUGAUUGAUUUUCUUCUUUAGCAAUAUUUUUUAAAGAUGUAGAAGAUGUUUUAUAAACUCUACCACCUAAAGAGACCAUUAAUUAGUAUAUUUUAUCUCUUGGAAUUGUCAAAGAUUAUUUCUAAACAUAUAUAUGCAUACACCCAUACAUAUAAAUAUUUUUUAUAUUUGUGUAUUUUAUUCACGUCUUUGCAUGGUAAUAAUGUUAUAAUAAGACAUCUAUUCCAUCUUUAUUAAAAAUCAUUAACGAAAAACUAAGUCAUUAUGACAUUGAAAAUCGUUAAUGAAAAAUAAAUCAUUACGACACUGAAAAUCAUCAACAAAAUCUGAGUUAUUUCGAUACUGAAAAUCAUCAAUGAAAAUUAAGUUAUUACGAUAUUGAAAAUCAUCAAUGAAAAUUAAAUAAUCAUUAUGACACUGUAAUUCGUCAAUGAAAACUAAGUCAUUACGCCACUGAAAAUCAUCGAUUAAAACUAAAUCGUUAUGAUGUUUCUUUUCCCAAGUUCAUGCAUAAAAGUCAAUACCAAGUUAUCUUCCUAAAAGAUCAUACCAUAACCUAUUUAUGGACAUCAAUCACAUCACAAUUCAUCUCCAAGAGUAUAUGAAGCAAAAUUAACAUGUAAUGUCUCCAAUCUAUUACAAUCUCACUCACUCAUCAAAUGUUGUUAAGGACGAUCUAUUAAUUAUCAUUAUAUUCAUGAAGGCAUUUCUUUCCUAUUUUUUCCAAGAUGGUCAAAACCUAUGUCUCUUCUCAACCAAACAUACUUUUGUGUUUUUCGAUAUGAUAUCAAGUACUCAUCAAUUAUAACAUGGCAUACUGUGUUCUAUACAUUUCAAUUCAAUUUAUGAAGUUCUACUAGUCAUGUUCAAGAAUCAUGCUUAUUUCAAUAAUCUCAUCUAGUUCAUAACAAUGUUAUUAAGUAGUAUUCAAUUAAAUUCAAGCACUUACAUUUCAAGGAUUUUCUUUCCUAAGUCUUUAUGCUGACCGAAACAUAGGACAUUCUUUCCAAGUGUUUAUUUCAUCAUUCUCAAUCAUUUCAUUUCAAAUCAUUAAACACAAGCUAAUAACUAUUCUCACAUUAUAUAUGAACUCAAUUUAUACAAUCUUGUUUGUUUUUCUAAGGAUGUUCAUCAUACAAAGAGGUAUCCUACAUUUUCUUCUCUUGGCUAAACAUGUUGUCUCAAUUACUUGAAGUUUAUUUAUGUAAAUAAUCACUUUCACUCCAAAUAUGUCCAUUUUAACAAGCGUUAAUCAUACAUCAAUCUUAUAUGUGAAACCCCGAAUAAAUUUAUACAGAAUGGGAAAUAACUAUUUUUCCAAAUGAGCAAAUUGAAUAUCUACCUUAGCAAGAGUGGAAUUGGAUUCCUAGUAUUAUUCGAGGAAAUUGUUUUUAGAUACACACCGGUGUAAAUAUUAUGAUAUAAAUGUAAACCUAUAAGGAUAGUGAAUUAAAUAUUACACUGAGCAUGUCAAAUUUAUAUUUACCUUAGAGGAAUGAUAUUGGGUUGAGAAAUUUGGACAGAAAAGUUUAUGUACUGAGUUUAAAAAAUGGAAACUUGAAAAAUACUAGAAAAUAAAAAAAGACAAAAAUGAGAAAAAAAUUUAUAUGAAAGAAAAAAAUAAAUAAAAAUAGUAACAUGUAAUUUAAUGAAAUUUAAAUUCACCAGUUUUAAGUUUGGUAUAAACCGGCGUCAGGACCCGGGAAAUAUUACUCGUGAAAAAUAAAAGGUUUCAAGGCAAGGACAUAAAGGGAAUUUUUAAAAUUGUUACCUAUAAAUGGGUUUGUUGGCUGAAACUUUGAGGAAGGUUUAGGAGUGAAAAUUCUUCAUCUUUCUUAGCUAGAUAAUAGGAAAAAAACAUGGGAGAUCAUAGAUUUAUGAAGUAGUUUGUGAGAUUUAAUGAUUCUAAACACUCUAACACUUGUAAUUAAAAGAGGAAAUUAAGAGAAAAUAGAGUUUAGUGAGAGAAGAUAAGGGAAGUGAGGGAAGAAGAGGAAAGCUUGGAGUAAUUUCAAUUUGGCUAGCUUUUGGAGGAUAAAGUAGUGAUUGGUAACAUAUUCUAAAUUUAAUUAAGUUGAUUAAUAAGGAUUUGAUUGAAUUGUGAUUCAAUUUGUUGGAAUUAUGUCAUUAGGGUUUAUUUGUGAAUUUGGGGUUUUUAUUAAUUAAUUGUUAGAAAUGUUGAAAUGAGUAGAAGUGAGUAGAAAUUAGUGAUGGGUAAAAUAUUCUAAACUUAAUUGAGUUGAUGAAUAUGGAUUUAAUUGAAUUGUGCUUAUGUUUGUUAGAAUUAUGUCAUUGGAAUUUUUAUGUGAAUUUGGGGUUUUUGUCCAUUGAUUGUGAGAAAUGUUAAAAUGAGUUGAAAUGAAUUUUAUGGAUGUAAAUGGAUUUAAAAAAACAAUAAUACUAAUAAUAAUAAAAUUACAAGUUAAUUAAUAUAUUAAAAAUAUAUUGAGUGUGUUAUGGAGUGAAGAAAUGGGGAAAUAUAUUAAGGAGUGUGUUUUGGUUAUGUGAGAUAUAUAUAUAUAUAUAUAUAUAUAUAUAUAUAUAUAUAUAAUUUAUGGUUUAGACUAUGUUAGAAGUAAAGAAAAGACUUGGAAAAGAAAAGAAGUGAAAAAGAGCAUUGGGACCGAGAAUGAAAAAUUGGUGUAGGAAAAGAUUUUAGUGAUGGGUUGGUGUGUAAUUUGAUUCUUGAGAGCAUUUAUAUUGAAAAAGGAAUGAAAGGGAAAAACUAGAAUAGAAUGAAAGUACUAUAUAAAUAUAUUCGAAAAUAAGAAAAGGGAAAUACCGAAUAUGACUUUGAAAAAAAUACUUUUGGGUAUAUCAUGAGAUGAAAUGAAGAAAACGUUAGAUUUUGCAAGAAACAAACGUUACCCAAUUUGGAGUUAUAGAACUCAAAAUAUGGAUAAAACACUAAAGAAAGGUUAGGCUAUAGGACAGACCCACGUGCCAUUGUAUUUCGAUGAAUUUAAGUGUGUAAAUGGAAGAACUAGGUUUAACCCUCUUCACCAAAGUUGUGUAUUUGUGUCUUAGCUUACUAAAUAAAUAAACCCCAAAGAAAACCGAUUUAUACAACUCUAGUGGGGAGAAAAACAACAAACAAUGUUCUAGUGAAUUGUCAUGUAUUAUUGAACAUAAUGAGUUUUAAUAUGAAGUUUAAAAGAAGUGUUUCUUAUGCAAGGAAUGAGUAUGUAGAUUUCAAAUAAUGUACUAACAGAAAGUAUCCAUAUGAUCUAGGGGAAACACUAGGAACAAGAUCUUCUAUCGGUGGAGCUUACUCGACUGGAGAAAGAGGUAAGUAAAAUCUCACUAACAACUUAUGAUGUUGAUUUAAACUUUUGGUUGAAAUCAUGAAUGCUAAGAAUGAAAAGAAUACGGAUGAAUCGUAAAUGUGAUGUGAAACCAAUGUAAUUGAGUUGCUUUUGCAAUGAACGAAAGCCAAUGUUAAGAUCAUUUUCAAAGUUUUCGAAAACCAAUGUAAUUGAGUUGUUUUCUUAAUAAACGAAAGCCAAUGUUGAGGUCAUUUUUUAAGCUCUCGAAAACCAAUGUAAUUGAGUUGCUUUUGCAAUGAACGAAAGCUAAUGUUGAGGUCGUUUCUGAAGCUCUCGAAAACCAAUGAAAUUGAGUUGCUUUCAUAAUGAACGAAAGCCAAUGUUGAGAUUGUUUCUGAAGUUAUCAAAAACCAAUGUAAUUGAGUUGCUUUCGCAAUCAAGGAAAGCCAAUGAUAAGGUCUAUUCUGAAGCUCUUGAAAACCAAUGUGGUUGAGUUGCUUUCGCAAGGUACGAAAGCCACUAUUGUGACCGUUUUCGAAGUUCAUAAACCAAUGUGUUAGGGUUGUUAAUAUGUGAAAGUUCAAUGUUGAGACUAUUUCUCCCUAAACUGUGAGGAAAUCAAUGAGAUGGAGAUGGUUUGCCAAGACAACCAUUAUGGUGAAAUCUUCGUAAAUUGUUGAGGAUUAAGUAUGUUUUGGUUGUUUUGUGAAUGUAUAAGUAAAUGUUGUGUGGUUACCCAAGUUACCCUAAGAAUGAUAACAAAUUGAAUUGAAGGAUAUUUUUAAGGUCAGUGAUAAGUCGUUGUGAUAUAUUUGAUAACUAUGUAAAUCAAAGCAUACUAACCAAUUUAAAAUUUAGGAUAGGUCGUACUUACAUCAAGUAUGAAUACCUCAAGGUGAUAUUAUUCUGAAAGUGUAACUAUUAUUCAUGAAAUCUUCUAUAGGAUUGGAUAAGAAGGAUGAGAACCCUCAUUAUCAUACAUACUUAGAAGAAAAAAUGUGUUUGAAAUACGAACUUAUGCUUAAUAAAUCUUUGUUGCAGGAACUUCGUGUAUUGGCGGGCCAAGUAGUUAGAUGGUAGGUGAACUCUAGGAUUUCAAAACUUUUGUUGUACAUGUAAAUAGUUUUGUAAACUAAAUUAAAAGCUCUUUCUAUUAUCUCUUGUUGAGAUGUCGCGGUCGCACAAAUUAAUUACCCUAGCUUCAAACACAACACACAAGAUAGUAUAGAGCAAGCAAGAGGUCGAUACCACGAGGAAGAUUCAAGUCAGAUUUUUAUGCUAGAUGAUAUGCAAUUUGGGGGGGUUGGACGUUAUCUAGACUAAAGCAAAAGAAAAUAGAAAACUAUCAAACAAAAUUUAAUAAAAUCAGAAAAUUAUCAAGAGAACAAACAUUGGUUGCAAGCACACAUCCACCUACAGAAAUCAGAACUGAUCAUGGAAAUGAAACAUCAAUUUAUAUUCUGAAUAUUUAUCUCUUCUUAACAUUGGUUAGUUAACGGAUCCGCCGUAUAACUAACCCUAACCAUCAAACAACCACAGUGUCCGCACUAGUAAUUUAAUUCAAUAGCAGCCUUAAGAACUAGAUAAGUUGUUAAUCAAGAAAACAUAACUAUCUGCAGUCUAUGUUUGAUUUGAUUGAAUGUUCUCCCUAAGAUUAAUAACGUAGAUCCGCCAUAAUUAUUAAACUCAGUUGCUUCACAAGUUCAUAUACCACAACUCCGGUUUUGAUAUCAAAUUUAGCAAUAGAUUGUCUACAAUAAUAACUUAGAGUCCGCUUUAGCAAUUAAAAUAAACAAUCAUAGGAAAAAUAAGCAUAGGAGAACAAACAUAUUCAUCAUAUAGACUGAAAAGAAAAGGUAAAAUAAAUCUCACAGUUCUUGAAAUCUGAAGGUUUCUGUGUCCUUGCAACCAAGAAAAAGUGUUUAGCCUUGCAUGUUUGUUGAACAACUAAUCAAAAAAAAGGAAGAAUGCAUAAUUUUGAGUUUCUUAGAGGAGGGGGGUGUUUUUUUCCUCUUGGCUGGCUGCCCCCUUCUAUUCUCUCAUUCUUUUUAUAUCCUAGGAAACCCUAGUCUCUAUUUUACAAAAUAGUCCUCCCUUAAGUAGACUGUUUACAUUUAAGUACUUCAAUAACUAUUUUCCUAAAAAAGAAGAAAUAGCCUUGCAUGAAAUCUUCAAGCUUUGACUUAGAGGAGCUAAAUUGCUGAAAUAAAAACUUGGAUAUCGGUUUAGAUGCUUAGGAACGUAAUUUGGACUCGUUUCUUCAUGAAACCUAUUUGCUGGCAGAAUUCAGUUGUCAUCUUUGAAAAAUAAUAUCUCCCUCAUAUGACAUCUUUUUUUACUUACAUUCGGAGAUUUUAUAGACCUUUGAGUCAGGAAUCCAACAAAAUUUAGUUUGCAUCAAUUGGACUUCUAUAGCUCCAGAUAUUUAAAUUGGAAUGGCUGAAGGUCAACACUAGCAGAUUCCGAGAUUUGACUUUGAAGGCUGCAAUUUCCAUGCUCUUCCUUAUUUUAUUUUCUUGCCUUAGAUUUCCAGAAAGGUAUGGAUGUUAGCUUUUUAAUGCCACUGGAAUCACUUCAUUUCAACCUCUAGAGCUCACGCUCUGCACAAAACAUCGACUGAAGGUCAAAUCUGCCAAUUAUCUCCAAUUUACUUCUUUUUGCAUCUUUCAUCCAAAAGUGCCUUCAAAACAUAAAAUAAAGAAUAUCAAGAUAUUUUAUAUAUAAAACAUAGGCAAAACACUAGUUAAAUGUGGGUGAAACUAUCGAAUAAUAUGGUUGCAUCAUCUCUCUUUCCUUAAUGACAUUGUUCUAUCUAUGUUUGGAUUUAUGUAAUGGAAUUCUUAAGUAAAAUAUUAUUAUGCAAGAUGAUAUAUAUAUAUAUAUAUAUAUAUAUAUAUGUGUAUUUUUCUUAUGAAUUACCAUGGUGUGUAUAAAUCAAUUACUCAUGGUUUAUACCAAUCAUUAGAUUAAAUUCAAAUAAGAUAAAACACAUAUAAAGGUAGUAAAAUAAUUAAUUUCAAGCCUAGUAAGGUAACAUAGCUUGUGCAUGAUGAAAGACAAGCUCGAGAUGUGUGUUUAAUUUUUCUUCUCUUUCUAUGUAUUUCAAGUUACUAGGUAUAUGAGAUUGGAUAUAGUUCUUUCUUAGCAUCUGUUUAUAGUUAAGUUCUUGUGUAAUGGAUACGAUGUCGUUAUCGAAAAGAAUAUAUCUAUAUAUGAGGUUGGGAUUAACUUGUGCUUGAGAUGAUAUGGAAUAAAGUCUAAGACAAAUGGUCUAUGUGGUGACAAUGAUUGUUAAACAAAUGAGAUAAUCGAUAACUUGGUAUGUUCACUUAUAAAGGAAACUUUGUGAAAUUUUCAAUAGAGUUGCUUAUCAAUAAAGGAGCAUGAUUAUGUGUAUAAAUACAAAAAACAUUUUCCAUGAUAAGAAAAUACAAAAACUUAUAUUUGAUUGAAAAUGUGAAAAUAUUUUAAUAUUCUCAUGUUUAACAUCCUCUGAAGGAUGGAGGUGUUACACUCUAAGUUUACAAUUUAAUAAGUUUUACAAUUCAUGAUGCAAAACAAGAAUAUUAACAUUCUAAAAUUUUGUUUUAGUCUAGACACCUUAUCUUAAGUACUUGUCAAGGUCACAAAUUAACAAAUUGUAUCAUUCUAUCUUAUUCUCCCAUCACUUCUUCAAUAUGUAGACCUUACCUAGGGUUUCUUCUUAACAUGCACCAAUUUCUUUUGUUAUAAAAUCUGAAAAUAUCCUUUUCUCAUCCUAACCUUAUAACCUUUUCAUUUAGUUCACAAUCAAGAGAUGUAAGAACCCUAUGUUACCUUAUUUAUGGUUUUCUUCCCAUUUUAUCUUAUAGUCUCAAAACAAUAAAUGUAAGAGUAAGGGUCAUCCUUACCACAUGAAUUUAAACAAAAUUUUAGGGAGGUGUUUUGGUGAUUUUCUUCUCCUUAUUUUUGGUUUUUUUCCUUCUUCCUCCAAUGUUGUUCCAGCCAACCUCCUCUAUCCCUCACUACUUCAAUGUUUUCAGUUUUCUUCACCUUACCUCUAAUAUUCUCUCACUCAAAUAUCUUGUAUAGGUGGCAUGCAAGGGAUUUCUUUGGUAGAACGUGUAAGGGAAGGGGCUCCUAUGAUUGUUUUCAGCCUGCCAUGAGAAAAAAGAAAAGUCACUCUUUCUCUUUUCCAAUGUAUUUCUACCCCUUUUUAAAUGAGGGUAGGUCAUGUUUGGAUGUUGGGUUCUCUUAUCCUAAUGGUCUUUUAAGUGUUUAUUGGCUGGUUUCCUCUUGUUUUUCCCGGGUAGUUACCGGGUCAAUUCUAUUUUUUUAUGGGGUUUUACAAUAAGAGAAAAAAAGAGAAACCAACCCAAAUACUAAAAAAAACUGAAUUAAAGUAGAGAGAGAAAACUUGGUUUUUAGAUCACCAAACCAGUACACUUCCAACCAAAGAGUUCCAGAUUAUAUAAAGGAGAAAGAGAAGGAGAAAAUUAAGAAGAAAGUAGAGAAAAAGAGUCACUAACAAAGGAGAAGGAAGGAGCCCUAUUCUAGAGAAAGAGAAACACCCAAAAUACUUCUUCACCUUUGACUAGCCACAAACGACCACCACAACAACUCCUACUUAUCUAGAAUAGAUUCUAAGGUAAGUUACAGUUCUUUCCGCUUUGUUUUUCUUUCUUUUUAUGUAAAUUUGCAUAAUUAAAGUUUAAAAACAAUGCAAAGUUAUUAUUCAUGCAUUUUUUUAAUUUCAUUUUUAAUGACUUCAUAAUAAUACUAGUAUCAUUUUAUAUAAUUAUGUUGUUGCCAUUUUAUAUAGGUAAGUGUUUGUACGAAAUAUUUAAGAAAAAUAAUAAAACAUUGUGUUGCUGAAUUUUAAUGUGUGAUUAUUUCUUUGGGAUUCAAUGAAAUCCGUACGCGUAUGCUUGAUUCUGUUGAGUGUUUAAUUUUUGGCAUGCCAUAUUUUUUGUUUGAUUUUUAAGAGCAUUUUCAUAUAAAUAAAAAAAUAAAAUAUGCAUACUUUGUUUUUGUUAAUUGCGUCAUGUUUGUGUGUUUUUAUAUUGUUUAUGAAUAUAACAAUGUCAUUUCUUAUUGUUGCCUUUAUCUAUAAAUAUAUUUGAUAAUUGUUUUUUAUAACAUAUUCUCUUUUACUGUGAAAAGAUCUGGCUUGGGACAACGUGACCCCAAACAAGCCCAACAAACAUAAGCGGCAUCUUUUAUGACAUUAUAAACAAAGUGGAUCAAAGUUCAAUUCUCACCAUCAAAUACGGGUUCAACACUUAUUUUUUUUCUUAACAUUUUCAACAAAAUCUCUUUUUAGGGAUUAACAUUAUUUUUUCGACAUGUCUCCUUUUUUAAAUGAGACCGAUGUCAAAAUUUUAAAAUCAAAUAAGGGUUUAACACUCAUUUUAACCAUUUUGAUGGAGUAUCAUUAUAGGGAUCAACAUCAUUUUUCUUAAAUGUCUCCGUUUUUAAAAAGGAUUGAUGUCAAAAUUCUAAAAUCAUAUAUGGGUUGAAUGUCUCCGUUUUUAAAAGGGAUUGAUGUCAAAAUUCUAAAAUCAUAUAUGGGUUGAAUGCCCACUUUUAACAAUUUUGAUGAAGUCUCUUUUAGAUAUUAAUGUUAUUUUUUUGACAAGUCUUCUCUUUUAAAAGGGAUCAAUAUCGUUUUUCAACAAGUUUCUUAUUUUUUAGGGACCAAUAUCAUUUUUCGAUAAAUCUCCUAUUUCUAGGGACUAAUAUCAUUUUUUGACAAGUCUUUUAUUUUUAGGGAUCGACGUUAAUGUUCAAAAUAAAUUGUUAAUAUGCUCAGAAUAUUAUAGCAUAGAAUAAAAUUUAGAAAAAUACAAGCAACAAUAACCUUUCAUCUAAAAGUAUGUGGUAAGAGUGAUGUCUACUUUCUCUUAAACAUAAUUAACCCAAUUCUCAAAUAUCUCAAACCAAUGCCAAUUUUAGGACUCCUAGUUUUCUUUAAUUACUAGGUGACGACUUCAAUUAUUUUAUUCCCCCCAACAUCGUUCUUCUUAAAAAAAAAACAACCCCAUCACCUCAAUGUCCGCCACAGUGUGACACGUCUAAUGCAUGGAAUGGAGCUGUAUGUUGAAUUAUCUAUUAUUGGAAUAGAAGAGUGUAAAGUUGUUUAUGUAUGUCUACAACAACGUUAUACUUAAUGAAUGAGUUAAUGGAGAUCUAGAAGAUCCGAAGUUCAUGUAGUGGGGAGAUCAAUUAUUCUCCUUGUCUUGGACUUUCAUUCAAUGUGGAAAAUAUCUUUAAUGAGAAGUAAAAUGGAAAUGAACUAGCUUUUUAUUCAAUUCUCCACAAAUGACUCCAUUGAUAAAGUUCUGAAAAAAAUUUACACAAAAAAUGGACCUUCCAUGGAUGGCGUCUUGUGCAAGGUUGGCUUGAUUAUUGAGCUUGACUAGUGGUUAUACGAUUUCCAAGAAAAAAAUAAUUUUUAUGAGGAAUAGAGAAUUUUCUAAUACUUAAGACAAUAGAUGUAUGGAGAGGAAGAAAAUAUAUAGAACAAGAAACAUAAAACGAAGGUUAGAGAAUGCGUAUCUCCAUUUGUUUGCCUAAAGAUUAUAUUGCCAAGCCUAGCUUGACCUGACUUUCAAUGUGUUAGCUUUAGUUGGCUUUCAAUGUGUUAAAGGUGGUGUUUAUGGUCGUGAAUGAAAUUGAAGAGAAAAUUGAAUAUUUAGACUCAAUUUGACUGAAAUUGCAUCAAUUAAAGAGCUAAGGAUGAAAGUGUAAAAGGUGUUGAUAUUGAGGGACUGACUUGAGUUCAAUCAGGGUGAAAUUAAAAGAAGUAAUUUUCAAGGUCAAAUUGAUAGAAAUUGUAUACAAUGAAAAUCCAAGAUUGAAUAGAAAAUGACGCUAAUGUGCAAGGACUGAUUUGGUUUCAAUCAGGAGUUAAAUCAAAAAGAAAAUCAUGAUUAAGGAUGAAUUUGACUUAAAUUUAAAUAAUUAGAAGUACAAGGACUAAAUUGAAAGUUGAGAAAAAAAUCUUAAAUGAAAUAGAGUGUUGUUGCCUAAAUGGCAUAGUUGUUAUAGGCGUCCCUGGUUUCCUCUUCCCCUUCCCCCACCGUUGGUUUGCAUGGUAACAAUGACAUUAUUGGUUUUAAAUUUUCAUCUGUAGGGUGGUACAACCUUCAACCAUUUGUCCUUUGUUUUACAUGGAAAUUAUUGAGAAAAGAACCUACCCAGCUGCUCUACUACAUUCAUACUUCAUUUUUAUAUUAAUACUUUGCUCCAUUCUUCACGUGCAAAGGAAUAAAACUGGUGCCAAAUGGGCUAACUCAAGCAUUAUUGAGCAAAUCAUUCACCAAUGGUGGAUGUUCAAGAUUGCUCUACGUGGAUCAAAAAAUAGAUAUGUUCCGCUUAGAAAGGUUUUGGAACCUUCCCUAUAACAAAUUAAAUGAGUUUGUUUUUUCUUUUCAUGAUUUCACUUAAUUUCCAAAAUGUAUUAAGACUAUAUUCUCAUCCCAUUUCUUGUAAAGUUUUUGAAUAUAAAAUUGAAAAUACUGUGGAUUCAUCCAGCAAUAUCAUACCGGUACUUUUCUUGUAAAGAAUGUCUUUCAAUAUUUUUUACUUUCUAGAGGAUAGGAGUUUUUCCCCAAAUAGGGUAGAAAAAAAUUGAGAAAAAGAGGAAGAAUUUGCUGUUAGAAGCACCUACCACAAUACAAAACUUUGACCUAUGAUCAUGGAGUCAUGUCUUGAUUCUUUGUUGGAACCCAAAUAAGAGUAUCAGUAGCCAGAAAGUGACAAACAGCCGGUCCUGGUUUAAUUUUGAGAACUUCAAAGGCCAUAUGCUCUGGACUCCAAGCAGAUAUGUGUUCAGGUGGCAUCCGCUUCCACUUUGUCACUAAAAAAUAUCAUAGCAACGUUUGCAUAUUACUUUAGCAAUUAACUAUAACUAAAAGACAUCAGUGUUUUAUUGUAGCGGGAGUUACUCUACAUUGUGAGUGCUUUCACUAUAGAUUGCACUAUUCUGCACUAUAGUUCGGGUACUAUAAGUUGUGAGUGCUUUCACUGUGAAUUGCAUUGUUUGAUGGGGGAAUGGUGAGGUUCCAACCUGCAAGCCCCAAGCGCCUGUUUGGAGGCACGCCCCCUGGGGCUGCGAACACCUUGCGCUUGGGCUGCCAGGCUUGGGUAUUGGGCAGGUCACAAGCACCUGCCCGCGCCCCACGUUGCAGCCACCUGACGCUGGGGAGGCCCUAGCAUUCAGACACCUGGUGCGGGGUCUGCCCAGCCUUGGGCGCUAGGGGAAGACCUGCGCGCUUGGCUGUAGCCCCAGGGCGAGCGGGUCUACAGCCCCGCGAGCCUGGAGUCUGCAAACCCGCGAGGCAAAGUCUGCAGCCCCAAGCGCCUAGCCGGUAGACCUGCGCGUUGUGUGUAGAUCCGGCCGCCGAGGUUUGUUCUCACAGCCCUUGAGUUUAGAGACUCGCGCGGCUGAAUCGACAGACCCUGCAAAGAAGAAACUUUGGCCAGGCAAGUUUGAUAUUAUUAUUAAUAUGAGAAAUAUUAUUAUUUGUAUUCUAAAUAUUAUUAUCAUUAUUGUAAUUAAAAGUAUUAAUAUUAAGAAUAGAAGAAAAUUGAAAAAAUAAUAAUAACAAUUAUCAUUAUUAUUAAUGUUAAAAAAAAUAUUAUUGUAUAAACUUUGGCCAAACAAGUUUAAUAUUAUUAUUAAUAUGAUAAAAUAUUAUUAUUUGUAUUCUAAAUAUUGUAGUCUUUAUUGUAAUUAAAAGUAUUAAUUAAUUAGCUCAGGCUGGUGACACCUGGAGCUAUGGUUGCCAAGCCAGGGCGUUGGGGCUGGCCACGCGGACUUGGUCACAACCCCAGGAAGUAGACACCUGGCGCGGGGUUUGCCCAGCCUUGGAUGGUGGGGGCAGACCUGAGCACUUGGCUGCAACCCCAGGGUGAGCGGGUCUACAGCCCCGCAAGCCUGGGGUUUGCAGACCCUCAAGGCAGGGUCUGCAACCCCGAGCACCUAGCUAGCAGACCCGCGCGCUGGGUGGAGACCCGACCGCCAAGGUCUAUUCUCACAGCCCUUGGGUUUAAAGACUCGUGCAACUGGAUUGGCAGACCAUAUAGAGAAGAAGAAAAAAAGUAAUAACAAUUAUCUUUAUUAUUAUAGUUAAUAAUUUUUUCAAAAAAAUAUUAUUACUAUAGAUACUUUGGCUAGGCAAGUUUUAUAUUAUUAUUAAUAUGAUAAAUGUUAUUAUUUGUGUUCUAAAUAUUAUUAUCGUUAUUGUAAUUAAAAGUAUUAAUAUUAAGAAAAGAAGAAAAUUGAAAAAAAAAUAAUAACAAUUUUAAGAAUUUUGUCCAAGGUGAGAGAAGGAGGUAUCCAUAUUUUAUAGUAUAUUGAAUAAUAAUUAGAACACAACAUGUCUCAAAAAUAUCCUCAGCCACCAAUAAAAAAAAAAAUUCUUACAAUCCACAUCUCCACAAAAAUAUUUUAUAUUAAGAUCUCAUGAAACCUUUUGUAUUCAUUCUUGCUUUAUUUUCUUUAGUAGUCAACCAGGAUGCAGGGCACAAAAUUAAUAUAAACUACUGUGGUAAUGGAAUAACAAAAUACUAGGAUCAUUAUGGCCCACCAAGCUACUUGCUUGGUGGGACAAAUUAACGAACAAGGACUUGUGAAUUUUGAUGUUUUUGUUUAUUGUAACUAGUGAUUAUCUUGUUAUAAUUGUACCUUUUGAGCAUGUGAGUAUUUACGGGAAGAAUAUGCCUACGGAGACCACUUUUUCUUGGUUGUUUAGCCAUAUUCGGAAAAAAGACAAAUUCCAAAAGAACAUAUUUACAUAUGAAAGUAUACUUGGAUAAAUCAUCUACUACAUAUAUAUAAUAUCUGAAUUUUUUUAUUGAUAAAAUAAGAGCAGAUUCCUAUAUAUCACAAUUAUUUUUAUAAAAAAAAAUAUCAAAACUUGAGUGUUCAGAACAGGAAGAAGGUAAUCUACUAAGUUUCCUAAAUUGACAACUAUCACAAAAAUGUUUAUGUUUUACGGUUCCUAUAACAUCAUUUAAACCUUUAUUUUGCAAUACUUUUAGAGUGGAAAAUUGAGGAUGUCCUAUGCGAUGAUGCCAAAUGUCUGUUGAUCCUUAUCUGAAUUAAUGAGAGAAGUAGAGCUCAGGCAUGUUGAGAAGAAUAUAAAAUCCUUGCACCUCCCUAUGAUCACGUGUUGUCUUGUCUGUCAUUUCUAACAUAUGGUUGGAGGCUCCUGUGGCUGAUGUCUAUUAUGUUUCAAUGAUAGUAUUGUCCAAAGUGAGAGCUGUAAGAGCUUAUGGUAUGUCUUCAUAUUAAGUUGAUUAUUUUGGUACUUAGCAAAAUAUCUUUUCAAUAUAUCCUACUUAACCACAAUACCGACAAGUUUCUUCUCAAUAUAAUUCUUGGUAUGUAGGUGUCAUGUUGUUCAUCAGGUGGGGGAAGGAAUUUUUGUUAGGGGCCUAGAGUAAGUUUGGAAGAGUAUGUAUGAUUUCUAUCUUUAGGUUGUUGUACACAGAAGACUCUCCUAGUAGAUAUGAACUUAUGUUUGUUCCUAUAAUUUCUUAAAGGGAACUAUUGUGUACGUUGUAGUUUUUGUCCGUAAACGCUUGUUAUAGGGUGAAUGAGUUUGAGUUAUUCUUAUGAUUGGUAAACCAAUUAUGUCUUUGAUCAAGACUUUGUAGUUGUGACACUGACUCGGAAUAUGAAGGCCUUGGUGGUUUCAGCAUAGUGGUAGUGAAAGUUUUAUAUCGAGAGCCAAGACUAGUGAGGAGGUAAAAACUUUUUUUUAAUUUAAGACAAGAUUCUUAAUAGCUGCAAAAUUAUCACAUAAACCUUUGAAGGUACAAAUAUGUUCUCUAAUGGUUCUGCCAUCUUUUUUGCGAAGAUAUGUAACUCGUUGUUUAAGAGUGAAUUCAUGUUCUUGUGAAUCAUGUGCAUAUUCAUUCUUUGGACUAUUCUAGAUAGCAUAGGAUGUAUCUAAACCCAUAGCAAGGCUGGGUGUUUCUUUUAAAAGCAACCCAAUUAUCCAUCCAAGAAGAAGGCAAUCUGCCUUUUGCUAGACAACAUAUUCUUCAGUUAGUUUUGAUGCAAAGAUGUCUAAAUUUGUGCUGUUAUUUGAGUCUGGUGUGAUGUUCUUAAUGGGGGUUGGGUCUUCAUUAGUGAGGUGCCCAACUAGCUCUUGAUUUUUUGUAAGAGCCAAGGCUUGUUCUCUCUCCAUAAUAGAUAAUUUGUAGGGCUGAGUUUGAGGGUAAUAAAAUUACCAAUAUUGAGAGACGUUGUUGUCAUGUUGCAAGGUUUUGCUGAGAUUGUUGUAUGUUCACACAAGCUACGAUAUGAUAAAGAAAUUAUAUUUAAGAAGGAAUGUGCCAAACCGAGCAUGAUGUGCUUGUUUGAGACCAUAAAGAGCCAUUUGGGGCUUACAAACAUGUUAUGGAUAUUGAAGAUCUGUCACUCUCGAAGGUUCUAUGUCUUCUAAAAUUAAAAUAUGUAAGAAGGCUUUUUUUUUUAAAUCAAGAUGAUGUAUGGACCAUUUCUGAACUAAAUUUAUGGUUAUAACCAUAUAGAUAGUUCCAAUCCAUCAACUUGGUGAUAUAACCUUUGGUACCACUCGAGCUUUAAGACAAUCUAGUGAGCCAUCGAGUUUGAGUUUUGGUUUGAGAACCCAUUUAAAGCUAAUGACAUGCAUGGAAGUUGUGUGAGGAACAAUUUUUGAAGUUUGAUUUUUUUGGAGAGCCUCAAGUUCCUCUUCCAUGGCAGCCUUUCAGCUAGGCUGAGCUAAGACAAGCCGAAUAUUGUGAGGUUCAUGUGGAAUGGUUACUGAAGAUUUAAGGGAACUUAAAGCAUAUUUUGGAUUAGGCUUGACAAUACCUCUUUGUGAUCUAGUAACCAUGCUAUAUGGUGGAAGAGGUGAAUGUGGAGAAUGGAAACAUUGUGCCUAUUCUAGUGAAACGAAAUCAGACUGUGAAAAAGAUGGGUAUUGCUCUUGCAUUUUAAGCUCAAUUUAAGGUGGUGCUAGAUGGAUUCAAUCAUGGAUUUAGUUCUAUCAAACUGUCAAAUGUCAAUUUUGUCAUGUUGUUGAUUUAUUUCAGACUUAUUUCCAGGUUCUACUAGUUAUAGUUCAGUUACGAUUUCAGACCUAACAUGUCAACAUUCAAUUUUAUUUAGAGUAUUAACAGUAGCACAACCUACAACAUCAUGUGAAUCAAGAUAAAGUGUUGGAAUGGCUGGUGAGGAGCUUAAGCAUGGUGGACUAGGUGUUGUGGGUUGUAUGUCUGCAACAAAAUUAGAAUUAGUAUGAAACAACCAUGAAUCAAAUAUGUUAACGACAUGUGAUGUAGAAGACAUAGUGUUACAAUUCUGAUAUUUUUUUAAAGGGAAAGAAUGACUCAUCAAAGACUACAUGACGAUAAAUAAAUAUUAUUUUACUGGAAGGAUGAAAAUAUUUGUAUACUUUAUGUUUAUGAUUGUAUCCUACAAAGAUGUAAAUGACUGCUUUUGGAUCAAAUUUGUGUUGUUUUGUAUACCAGGUGUAAGGGAAGCAUUUAAACUCGAAGACUCCAAGAGAAAAAUAAUCAGGAUGAGUAACAUGCGGUGUAAAAUAUGGAGAUUCCAAAUUAAGAGUAGACGAAGGCAAUCUAUUUAUAAGGUAAACAACAAUAGUUAAUGCUUUAACCCAUAAACACUAGUUAUUCUUAAAGGGAACUAUUGAGUACAUUGUAGUUUUUGUCCAUAAACACUAGUUAUGGGGUGAAUAAGUUUGAGUUAUUUGUAUGAUUGGUAAACCAAUUGUGUCUUUGAUCAAGACUUUGUAGUUGUGAGAUUGACUCAGAAAAUGAAGGCCUUGGUAGUUUUAGCAUGGUGGUAAUGAAAGUUUUAUAUUAAGGGCCAAUAAGACUAGUAAGGAGGCAAAAACUUUCUUUUUUUUAUUUAAGACAAGUUUCUUAAUAGCGGCAAAAUUUUCACAUAAACCUUUGAAGGUAUACAUGUGUUCUCUAAUGGUUCUGUCAUUUUUAUUUUUUUUUGCGAAGAUAUAUAACUCGUUGUCUGAGAGUAAAUUAAUGUUCUUGUGAAUCUUCUGCAUAUUCAUUCUUGAGAGUAUUAUAGAUAGCAUAGGAUGUCUCUAAACCCAUAGCAAGGCGGGGUGUUUCUUUUAAAAGCAUCCCAAUUAUCCAUCCACGAAGAACACAAUCUGCCUUUUGCUAGACAACGUAUUCUUCUGUUAGUUUUGGUGCAAAGAUGUCUGAAUCUGUAGUGUUAUUUGAGUCUAGUGUAGUGUACUUAAUGGGGGUUGGAUCUUCAUUAGUGAGGUGCCAACUAGCUCUUGACUUUUUGCAAGAGCCAAGGCUUGUUCUCUCUCCAUGAUAGAUAAUUUGUAGGGCUGAGUUUGAGGGUAAUAAAAUUACCAAUAUUGAGAGACGUUGUUGUCAUGUUGCAAGGUUUUGCUGAGAUUGUUGUAUGUUCACACAAGCUCCGAUAUGAUAAAGAAAAAUUGAAAGAAAAAGAUGUUUGAUAAGAAGAUUAGUUUCUUUAUUGAAGGAGACAUGAAUACAUAACAGUACUUUUACAGUGCUUGAGUAGUUGGUAUUUAAGAUAGCAAUAAAAUAUCAAUUUGAAUAGAAUCUGUGUAAAUAAAAUCUCUGGAAUGUGAUCUGUUACUUUGACUGAUAACAUUAACUAACAUGAUUUGAGCUGAUUUGUUCUACGUACAAACACCAUUGCACCAAAUGAUAACAUGAAGAGCUAAUGAUGAAAGCAUAAAAUAUGCUGAUAUUGAGGGACUGCCUUGAGUUCAAUCAAGGUGAAAUUGAAAUAAGAAGUAAUUUUGAAGGUCAAUUUGAUAGAAAUUGCAUACAUUGAAAGUUCAAGGAUUGAAUAGAAAAUGGUGCUAAUGUGGAAGGACUGAUUUGGUUUCAAUCAGGGGUCAAAUCAAAGAGAAAACCAUGAUUAAGGAUGAAUUUGACUUAAAUUUAAAUAAUUAGAAGAACAAGGACUAAAUUGAAAGUUGAGAAAAAAAUCUUAAAUGAAAUAGUGUGUUUUUGCUAAAUGACAUCGUUAUUUUAGGCUGUCAAAGAAUCAUCUCAACCCAAUAACUUAAGUUGUUAAGUGAGGUCCCAGGAUAUGAUUUAUAUUAUUUUCUAACACACUCCCUCAAGUGAAAGCCCUUUGGGUUUAAAACUUGUACAGGUCCAUAUUACCUUGUAUUUAAUUUUUAUCAAAUAAAUAAGGAUAGUAAAAUUCAAACUCGUGACCGUUGGUUUGCAUGGUAAGAAUGACAUUAUUGGCUUUCAUUUUCAUCUGUAGGGUGGCACAACCUUCAACCAUUUGUUCUUUGUUUUACAUGGAAAUUAUUGAGAAAAGAAACUACCCAGCUGCUCUACUACAUUCAUGCAUCAUUUUUAUAUUAAUACUUGCUCCAUUCUUCACGUGCAAAUGAAUAAAACUGGUGCCAAAUGGGCUAACUCAAGCAUUAUUGAGCAAAUCAUUCAACAAAGGUGGAUGUUCAAGAUUGUUCUAAGAGGAUAAAAAAAAUAGAUUUGUUCCACUUAGAAAGGUUUUGGAACCUUCCCUAUGCCAAGAAAUACUAGGAUCAUUAUGGCCCACCAAGAAACUUGCUUGGUGGGACAAAUUAACGAACAAGGACUUGUGAAUUUUGAUGUUGUUGUUUAUUGUAACUAGUGAUUAUCUUGUUAUAAUUGUACCUUUUGAGCAUGUGAGUAUUUACGGGAAGAAUAUGCCACAGCUGCCUAUGGAGACCACUUUUUCUUGAUUGCAUAGCCAUAUUCGGAAAAAAGACAAAUUCCAAAAGAACUCAUUUGAUUUGUAUUUUUUUUUUGUUGGUAUGUUAAUUAGUUGUUGAACAUAUUUACAUAUGAAAGUAGGAAUGUUGUUCUAAUUUUUUACGUUAUUUUAAUUUCAACUCAUUUUCACAGCAUAGAGAGCUUUGACCAUCUUGAAGUGAGUUUAAUGUCGUUGGGACUCCUUCAUCGGUCAACUUAUCUUCACUAACAUAGGCUGAUUUGUGAGAGUGUUCAUCCUUGUCACUCCAAUUGUUUCGGUCUCCUUGUCACUCCAGUUACUCCCACAAAUCAUGCUAGGUUGGCGGGGUUCUGCUAUUGUUAAUAUGUGCAUUCGCCCAUCAUUCUACUGGUAAUUUUUUUCGAAGAAUGUUUUUCAAGAUUUUUACUUUCUUAGAGGAUAGGAGUUUUUCCCCAGAUAGGGUAGAAAACUAUUGAGAAAGAAAAAGGAAGAAUUUGCUUCUUUUAUUAUUUUGCUCCAUGUAAAUUCAUAACCAAACUUUCUCAACGGAAUCUUUGUGAUUAAUGGAUAACAAAAAAGACAACAAACACCAUUGCACCAAAUGAUACAUUCCAUGCUAGAAAAUACAAUCACAUUUCUGGGCUUUCAAAAGACAAUCCAAGCAUGCUAAGACAAGGUUUUUCAGGACCUUCUUACUAUGCAAAUUUAAAAGCAGCUACCACAAUACCAAGCUUUGACCUAUGAUCAUGGAGUCAUGUCUUGAUCCUUUUUUGGAACCCAAAUAAGAGUAUCAGUAGCCAGAAAGUGACAAACAGCCGGUCCUGGUUUAAUUUUGAGAACUUCAAAGGCCAUAUGGUCAGGACUCCAAGCUGAUGUGUUCAGGUGGCAUACGGUUACCGCUUUCACUUCUGCGCCAUCAGCAGCGAUUAAUGGAACCACAUAAACCUCUGUGCCUUCGAUUACAUGGCAAUAAUGUACUGCA
rnacentral:lncRNA from 1 species